rnacentral:lncRNA from 1 species
UACCCUGUGGUUUAAAACGUAUCAAUUUGCCCCCCUGUGGUUUCGUUUUUAUCUUUUUGUUAUCAAUUUUAUUAUUAUUAUUUUUUAAAAUCAGUGAUAAAGUUAAAAUUAAAGGAUACUAAAGUGACUAUUCGAUAAAUAUAGAUGGUUAUCUGAAGUUUUUGUAUAUAAUUUAACGAAAUAUUAACGAAAAAGCUUCUGAAAAGAUAAAAAUGAAACUACAGGGGGGUAAAUUGAUACGUUUUAAACCACAGGGUAGCAAAGUGAGAAUGCACGAAACCACAGGGGGGGGGUUUAUGAAGUUUUCCCUAAAUUAAAUUGUUUUUCUCUCAAAAUUUAUACUAUUAGCAUAAAUAUUCAUAUUUUUAAGAAUAUAAGAAUAAAGAGCUACAAAACUAAGCUAAUUUAGUAAAAAAAUAACAAACUAUAUUAUGCCUCAAAAUAAAUAAAGGGAAAACUUCAAAUAGCCCCCGUGGUUUUGCACUUCCUAACUUUAGUACCAUGUUAUUUAAAGUGUAUCAAGUUAGUACCCUUGUGGUUUCGCACUUUCUCACUUUAGCACCUUGUAGUUUAAAGUGUAUCAAGUUAGUACCAUGUGGUUUCGCACUUUCUCACUUUAGUACCAUGUGGUUUAAUAUUUUGUUAAAUUAUAUACAAAAAAACUUUAGAUACCCUAUCUAGGUUUAUCGAAUAUUUAUUUUAGUACCCUUUAAUUUUAACUUUAUCACCAAUUUAACGAAAAAAACACCCUGAAAUAGAUAAUAAAAAGAGAAAAUUAAAACCACAGGGUACUAACUUGAUACAAAAAUGAAACCAUAGAGUACUAACUUGAUACACUUUAAACCAUAGGAUACUAAAGUGAGAAAGUGUGAAACCAUAUGGUACUAAUUUAAUACACUUCAAACUAUAGGGUACUAAAGUAAAAAAAAUAUGAAACCAGAUAUUUUUGAAGUUUUUCAAUAGAUAAAUAAUUAAGCAAAUAAAAGAUUAAGAUAGUUCAUAAACGAUUAAACUUUUUUGAUCCAAUAAAUUUUUUUUUUGGGAGGGGGUGGGGCGAACUCGCGCUUGCGAGGCCCGCGACCGCGAUCGCGCGUCUUUUUGGCCGAAUAAUUCGGCAAGCGAAUUAUUCACGAAUAAAUAUUAUUUACUAAAAAAACAUGUUUUUUUUCAAAAUUUUCAAAAAAAUUUGAAUAAGACCGUUUAAUUCGUUUCUUUAAAAAUUCGCGAAUAAUUCACGAAUUAACUAACAAUGAUCUGCAGUAGUGCCUACUUUAUAUUGUUGAAUUUAAUGGUGAUAGAUGACUUAGUUGAGAGCAUAAGAAUCAUCUAUGCAUUCCCGUUUUCGGAGAUUACCUCAAACAAUCACAUGCUUUUGCUUUAAAAGUCCUGGUACAACGAUACUGAUUAUAAACCAUGUAAAGUUACUGAUCAGCCACAGAUCACACCAAAAUUAGAUUAUAAAAGGAUACUGUCCAAAAACAAAACAAAAUUACAAGUACAAAAACCUCGGCUAGUAAUAACAGCAGUAACAAAAAUAGAUAGAAGGAAUAAGUGAAAAAGAAGGGGGAAAAAAAAAGGAGGAACUCAAUAAUAGGUUCCAAAAACCCUAAGAUCAUGAAUAUAAAUAUAAUAAUAUAAUGAGCUCUCGCCUGUUAAUACUCGAAAAGCAUUAUCAUUAGCUUCUAUGCAGACUCGAAAUGAUUUAAAGAAAAAACUCAAGAUAACUCUUAUGUUAAAAUUGCGAGGUUUCCGCUUCCGCAGAGUCAGUCUCCAGACAUGUAAGUCUUGCCCUCGUAGUACUUCCUCUCGCUCGCUUCCUUCUUCUCGUUCCGUUUCUGAAAACAGAAACACAUGCGAAACAAUGAAUAUCUGAUUAAAUUUAGGUUUUGAAGAAAUACGUGUCCUAUUAUUGAAGCUGCUGCGUACGACGGUAAUAAAUUACACCUUAACAGAGGUUACCCAAGUAACAUUGAAUUUGACCGGCGACAACUGGUAUAAGUAAACAUUUGUAGUAAUCAUUUAUUUUUGUAGUAGUAUUAAGAUCAUAUGCUAGAAAGUGAUUGUCAUCAACCGUAGAAUGCUGAAUGAUAAUGAAAGAUUAAUAUCGAGGAUGAUGGCGUGAUAAUAGUGUAGAUCUUUUGAUACUCUAAUGCAAGUGGAAAAUAAUGUUGAAACAAGACGAUAAUAUGGAAAAUUUUGAGGCUUGUAGAUUACUAGUGGUAUAGGAAUCUUAUUAGGAUAUACCUGAUAUGCCUCGUGAUUUGCAACAAUCCUCCUAAUUAUUGUACUAGUUGUGAUGUCUAAAGAGCUUUCUAGUUGCCGAUAGAUACCCAUAGCAAUUGGAACUGCAUAUGGAUUUGAUUCCUCCUGAAAAGUGAUCCGUAUGCUAUUCAGAUUUAUGACAAUAUGAAGAGGACUGCAACCUCAAAAUUUAUGACAAUUACCUUGAGAAAGUCCAUAUUUUCUGCAAUUGUUCCGUGAACAACCAAAGAGAUGUUAAACGUAGUAAUCUGUAAAAAACCACAUUCAUGAGUCAGAAUAUUCAGAAUAUCAAUACUCUGGUUGCAGCAAUAAAAUAGAAAACGAGCAAAUUCAUGCAAAAUCCAAAUUGAAUUGAAAUGAAGCAUACCAUUUAACAGCAAGUAAGAGAUCAGGUCUAACAAAAAUUAAUCAACAAAAUGUACAACCCAGAAUUGUCAAAAAGAACUAACCAUAUCUUUAGAGACCUCCCAUGGGGCACCAAUAAUAACUUCAUCUACAUAACGGCAAGCCAACACACUCAAGCUUCUCUCAUGAAGAUUCAUGAUUGGGCGGUGGGCUCCUCGAGUAGCACUGUACAUGGCAAAGCAAUAUUUAUUAUGUGUGUACUGCAAAAAAUUUUAAAUUAGAAAGAGAAGAACAAUGAGACACCCAGAGAAGCGGUCUAGGCAGAAAGCAACAGAAAACAAUAAAGAGGAAUUUCAUUGAGCACUAUUAAGGAUAUUAUAGCAAAUAAAAUUGUACAUUAUGAUGAUUCCGGAAGGGGCAGUCACUCCAUCUGCUAUGAUAUCUCACAUGAUUGUCAUCUGUAACUUAUGUAGCUGACAGUGCAAGAGCAUAAAAGGCAGAACCAAAGCAUGCGACACAUUUUGGACGAGUAGAAAUAACAAUAUAUUACCUCACAGUCUGAUCAGUAUGAAUGCCCACAAGUAAAAAAUCUCCCAGUUCUCGAGCCUUCCGCAAUAUCUGUAACACAAUAUCAAUAAGUUACAACAGAGAAGCAACAAUAUUCUGCACAAAAAGGUCGGACAUUUUAAUUCGUAAAAUAGCUUUGUGAAGCAUCACAAAUAAGCGAUAGCUCAAAGCCUAACGCAUUUGGCUGUUUCCUCAUGAUUGUCUAUUUUUUUAUGAAGUAUAAAGCAAUAUGAUUAGUCACUUUCAUAUAAAAAAGAUAACGCCUAAAUGGAUCUCAGUUGGAUGAGCAGCUUACAAGAGUAAAGAGGGUUACAGAUAAAUCCCAUUGAUAUGAGCAAUAAACAAUAUGAAUGGCAUAAAUGAAUAGAAAGUCCCUCUAAAACUCUUAUGAGCUUUUCAACAGAGUGUAUAAUAAGUAUAUUCAAAGCAGUUGAUGGUAGGAUACAUAAUGAGACACUUGUUCAACUGUCUGACUAGUGGCAAGAAAUAAACAGGUACACUUAUGAACAAGCCAUCUUCAAUAUGAAAUUGACACCACCUUGUGCGUGCGCACGCCCACGCGCGGGUGAGAGAGAGAGAGAGAGAGAUAGAGAGAGAGAGAGAGAGAGAGACCUCCACAUGUCCAGCAUGGAACAGAUCAAAUGCACCAUCUAUGUAAAUAAUGCGAGCAUCUGGACCAGGACCCUGGAUGAACAAAAAGAAGUUUCAACAUACAUUUCCCUUAGAGCAUUCUUGUGAUAGUCACAGAACAAAAAGAAGUUUCAACAUGGAAAAAUACAAAGUUUCAAAACACACAGACCAGAGCAUAUGACCGGCAUGGAACUAUAAGAAGUAUUAACAUACCUUCCCAUUAGAGAACUGCACUAUUCGUCGAGACGUAGGCAGAAAAUGGGAUAUACGAGUUCCACUUGCAGAUCCACCAUCAUCAACCUUCUGACCAUGACCGUGGCUAAACUGCCUUUGCAAAGAAGAAUGAUUAUGACUAUCACCAGUAGAUCUCUCCCUUACACAAAGAAGCAUGCGACCUAUUGAGCAACAAAGUAUAUUUAUCUAAGCAUUCUCGAAUUAGAGGAAGAAACAGAGAAGAAUCUUGAAAAGUCGAAAAGCUGAAUUCUUGAUGCCAAAAGCGGUAGUCACAGCCCACAGUACAGUCCCAUACGGUAAUUUUUAAAGCGAUUAGAAUGUCAGAAAUGCAUGCGAUAAAUUAAAAGCAUCUGCAUGCCCUGAACAAGUCGAAGUUUUAUAUUUAAGAAGGAAAAAUACUACCUAAAGUAAUCUACACACAGAGGCACAAGAUAUUAUUCAAAAAGCAACUAGAAUGUUAACCUGCAUGUUAAUGCUUCUGGAAAAGGUGCAAACCCAGAAAAAAUUUAAAAUCACAAAAACAUGUCAUUGUAAAUCCAGUAUAUUAGCCAAGCAAAAUUUUAAACCUAGAUUAAGCAGGCAGACUAACACCAAACUUUCUUGAUUAUCCAUCCCAAAUACAAGAUAUGUUGUACUCCAUUUAAUCAGGUCAAAUUUCGCAGGAACACAAACUUCCAAAAAUAGAUGGAUAAAAUCAGGGAAAAGAAGAAUAGAAUCAGUACCAACUAUGUCUGUGCUUGACACUCCUUCAGUUCUUUUAAUCUGCUUAUAACGGCCAGCCUUCUUGGCAAGGGCAUAUGCAUCAGUACCAUCAGGGAGUAGACAAGGAUCAUCCCCAUGAAUAAUAUAAUCAAUAUUAUACUUAUUGAACAGCUUAUUCAUAAACUCCUCAGUUAUGGCAUAAGGAGCAUCUGGAAUGACUUCAUCCACCCAUUUUACAGCCGCUACCAUGAUCAUUCUGUGAGCAAAUAAUUGGGAAAUCAGUUGGAACAAUUAUAUAUGGAGGGGAAAGGGUCAUAUGCGGUUUCAGUUUAAUAGUUGAUGUACAGAAGAACGCCAUGCACGUGGACAAAUUCAUGAAGAUGCCUCAUUUUUCAAUUCAUGUUUUCACUCCCCCUUCCAGAGGAAGAGCCCAAAAAUUAAGAAAGAAAGAGGGUGCCAAGAUUACACAAUAUCAUCCAAUGCUUGGGGAUUGGUAUUCUGAACAGUACUAUAAGAAUCAGUACUGAACAUCCCUCUUGCAAAAGUACAGGGUCCCGUAUGCAAUUACGUAUUUUGGUUGAGGCAAAACCUACAAUAUCCAGAAGAACUAAAAAUCGAAAAUUGAGCUACAAAAACAAUAUUAGUCAAUAUUAGAUCCCACUGAUUCUUAAUUGCAAAGAAUUACAAAUACACAUUGAGCUCCAAAACUAAGAUCUAGUAUAAUAAGGAACUUUAAGACAAAAAUACAUGUUCAAAGAGAACUAUCAGUGCAACUUGCUCCCGCAUAAGACAACUUUAGAGUUUUAGAGCUUGGUAGUGGGCGAGAAACAUGAUCUGCAAAGAAAUUUACCGGUCAUAUCUAGCGUAACAAGAUUAAACAAAAUAAAUGCUAUAUUUAAAUUGAAUAUAUAGUAUAAAUUUGGGGGAAACAAGGAAACUUUUUUUUAAGUUAGUGGAAAGGGAAACAUAUACUCAUGGAUCUAUUCAUGCUACUUACUAUCCAGAAACACAAAGAUACAAUAAGAUUCAAGAGCUACCUUUCAUGGCAUGCAAAGUAUUCCAAAAUUAUCACAACAACGUAAAAAUUGGAAUAGAAAUAUUGCUAAAAAAAUAGAAAUAGAAAAAAUAAAGGAGCAGAGAGGGAUCAAUAAAACAAGCAAUAAAAUGAAAACACAUCCUAGAUCUAAUCAUUAUAGAAACGAAGAUCAACAGGAAUUCCCAAUCAAAGUAUUCGAUACGGGGAUCGACCUUUCGUGGAGCGGGGUCACGGGGGGGCCCUUGUUGGCCGUGAUCUCGUCGUCGCUGACGACCCCGACGACGAGCUCGUCCCCGAGCGCCCGCGCCUGGCGCAGCGCGUUGCAGUGCCCGUAGUGCAUCAUGUCGAAGCACCCGUCCAUGUACACUCGCACGGGGCGCCGCCGCCGCCGCCGCCGGCCCCCCCAGAGCGGCGGCGGCAGCUGCAGCGAGGGCGGGAGCGAGAUCCCGACCUGCACGGCGAGGAGCGACGCCCCGAGCACGAGCCCGCCGAGGAAGAACGCGGCCACGAACUUAGACGGCGUCGCGAGGUCCUUCACGGCUCCGCCUCCGCCGCCGCCGCCGCUUCCGCCGCCCUCGGAAUCCAUGGCGCAGAGGAGGAGGAGGAGGAUUCGGAUCUAGGGUUUCGGAAAACCUAGGGCUCGCGAGCUCCCGCCAUUUGGAGGCUUCGAGGAGAGCACGAGAGUGGAAAAGAGAGAGAGAGAGAGAGAGAGAGAGAGAGAGAACGAAGGGUAUGGAACGGGGAAUGAGAAGGGGGUAAUUGGAUUAAUAUAGACCGUACGAUGGAGUGAGAUCACAGGUGGAUUCGUUGGGGACUAAUAAAUUAGUGUAUUAUGAGCCGUUCAUCAAAUAAAGAAUUUUUAAAAAUGCGAUUUUUUCUAUCUGGGGUAAAUUUUAAUUUGCGUAUUCAUAUGGACUUUCCCGAGAAUUUUUAAAAUAUUUGUAUUUCCAUUACUUUAAAUAUUGUUUUUGUUACUUGAAAUUUUUUAUUUCCUGUAAUUGCUUUUUGGUAUUAUUUACCUAUCACACUCGCAUAAAUACAAAAUUAUUAUAUAUAUAUUAUAUGUUUAUUUUUAAAAAAAGUUAAUGAAAAAAUAAAUUUAAAAUUGUACUUUCUACAUGAAUUUGUGAAUUACUAAUCAGUAACAAGAACUAAGAAUUCUUAUUUAUUGGUGCAUGUAAUUGUACAAAAAAUUUGAGUCUAAAAUAAUGGAAUACAAAUAAAAAUGAAAAAAAAAAUGUAAAACCAAAGGAAAGCUUUGCUUUUCAAAUUCAAAUGUUCAACGGAGAUAGAUAUAUAUUAAUUCAAAUUAUAUAUAUUGACACUCACAUGUACAAAACUAACUUAUAUAAAUAUAAUUUUGACUAUUAUUAAUGUACACAUAAAUAUAAAAAAGAAAAUCACAAUUGCAUGCGUGGGAUAUGCUAAUGCGAUGCUUGGCACCAGAUGCUGUAAAAAGCGUGUGAAUUAAAAGUACGGAUUAUGAUGCUUCUUGCAGUGUGGCCGCAUCAAUGCAAUAAAGAUUUUUCUUUAGAAAAAAAAAAAAGAAUAAAAUUUACUCGCAUAAGAUGCGACACACUUUCUGUGAGACCCCAGAUAGUCAUAUAUAUGAGAUAUAAUAUGGCUAAACUCUUAACCCGGCUUAAGCAUUUUGGGUUGUGGCAAGGCCCAAGAGGUUAAGAGAGUUAAGCGUGUUGGGACGGGAGUAAUCCUAGGAUGGGUGACCCCCUGGGAAGUCGGGGCGUCAUAGAUGGUAUCAGAGCCAAUUACCAGCCGGAAGUGUGAGAUGACUCUCGGCUGAGCCAGGGUCUGGAUGACGGGCUAGCGAGAUGAGUCUCACAUCGCCUGGUACUUGUGAGUCUGAGCCUGACGAGGACGUCAGGGCUUAAAGGAGGGGAGAUUGUGAGACCCCAGAUAGUCAUAUAUAUGAGAUAUAAUAUGGCUAAACUCUUAACCCGGUUUAAGCAUUUUGGGUGGUGGCAAGGCCCAAGAGGUUAAGAGAGUUAAGCGUGUUGGAACGGGAGUAGUUCUAGGAUGGGUGACCCCCUGAGAAGUCGGGGCGUCAUACUUUCUCUUUAGAAACAAAGGAAUGAAAUUUAUGAUAAAUAGUGUUCAGAUUAUACCGAAUCGUAUAUGAUGCAAUAAAGAUAUUUCCUUAGAAAAAAUAAAAUAAAAUUUACCUGCAUCAGAUGCGACAAACUUUUUCUUGUAGUGUUCACAUUGUAUUGAAUCGUUUUCCACUAAAUAGGUUUUGAUAGCAUAGUAUCAGAGCCAUCCUUAAGCUUCUUUCCAAGAGAAUAUUGUAAGUUUGAUUCUCUCAUAUUCAUCAUUUUGUAACAUAUAUUCCCUUCUAUUAUCACCUCUUUGUUCCUUACUUGUCAAUUAUCACUGAGGGCAUACAUAGUUCUCGAUCUGAUCAAAUUUGUUUCUUUUUAUUUCACAUAUAUUUCUGUCUCUAUUCAAAAAGGCUUGUUCACUCAGAUCGAUUUUUUGGGUAGUCGAAAAAUAUAUAUUUCUCUCAAUCCUCAUUGAGGGUUUUAGAUCUUUGAUCAAAUUUUCUCCGGUGCGUAUCAUUCUCACUAAAGGCAAUACUACCGGAAUAAGUUGUCAGAUAUUACUCACAUGCUACGAAAGUUCUGACUGCUAUGUGAUUUGAUAAUAUAGUAUAUUUUAUUUACGAAUUUUUUUGAAAAAAAUUAUAUAUAAUGGACGGCUAUAGUAUACUUUUUAGGCUGUGUUUGGUUCAGGUAUAAGUAAAAACUGUUUAUUCCAAAAGCAGAUAUAAGUUCAGAUAUAAAUGAUUUAAUACUAUAAUUAAAAUUAAAUUUAGACUUUAAUUAAACUUAUUUCCACUUAGGAAGGAACAAGCUUGUUUUAGAAAAAUGGCUGGAACAGCACCAGUUUAUUUCAGAGACCUAAAAUUUACUGCUCUCGAAUAUCAAAUACAACGCUAUCAAAGAAAAUUAUCUUAACAACAUUAAUUAAUUCAACGUAAAAGGGGAAGUGAUUAAUAGCAAUGCUUCAGUUUUUCUAAUUCUAGUUGAUAAUGCUGAAGCCUACGUACCACAGCUUCUAAUACUUUCUAAUAAUUAUAAAUAUUCUUUCUUCUAUCUUCCAUUCCAGCCAACAUUGAAAGCUGCCGGCGGCCCUUUAUGCGUUCCGGCCACCACUGACAGCCUUUGGUUAGCAUUAUUCAAGUACUGCUGCACUUGCUCUCCGGAGCUCAUGUCUGGCCCCCCGCCGACGACUCCCCCCUCUCCGCCGCCCGCCCCCGCCACCGGAUCCCUCAUGUACUGCUGCACCACCAACACCGACACCAUCAUCGCGAAGUCCGACGACGCCAACAAGUCCCCGAUCGGCCCCAGCUCCGGGCACUCGGUCCACUCCGUCAGCCCCGCCGUCAUCGCCCCCCCGGCCUCCCCCUGCCCCCUCCCCACUAUGUACAAGUCGUGGAUGCUCUCCAUGUUCCGGAUGGCCGUCACCGUCUCCUCGCUGUUCCCCACCACCUUCUCGACGUACGUCACGGAGUCGUUGCCCACGUUCUUCACCCUGAACUCGUUGACGUACUCGUCGUCGAGCUGGCGCUCGUGGCUGCCGUCGGUGACGAUGGUGAUCACGCGCGAGUCGCGGGCGGCGGCCUGCUCGUCGGGCGGGAGGAAGCGCACCACCGUGAGGGACACCACCGGGUUCUCGACCAUCCGCCAUGCGAAGGCCAGCGCCUCGCGGUCGUCGGGACCGCCGAAGAAGAGCAAUGCCACGUGGUGCGUGGCGGUGAGGCGCGACGCGGAGGCGCUGAGGCCGCGAUCGACGAGGACGCCGACCGAGCAAGGCGAUGACGAGAGGAUGUUCUCGUUGAGGGUGCGGAUGGCCGGGUUGAUCGCCUCCAUGCCGCCGUCGACAGUCUGCUGUUUGUGGAACGGGAGGACGAUGAGCGUCACGUGUUUGUCCUCGGCGAGAAGGCAGACAUCCUCGUGCAUCGUCGAGUAGGGAGAGACUGUGGUGAGCGUCUGUAUGGAGACGCCGCCGGCGUGCUGCUCGUAGCUCUCGAAGGCGGCGAAGAUGUGGUCGUUCUGGGCGUGCGAGCCUGCAGCAGAAGAUUUGGAGGAGGGGCGACGGUGAUGCUUGACGGCGGUAUUGUGGACGACGAGCAUGUUCGAGGCUCGGCCCGUGAGCUCGACGAGGUGGAGGGCGUAGACGAAGAUCGGGGAGCGCUUGGUCGGGUUGGAGAGGUCGAGGAGCGAGAUGAUGGAGGGGACGUUGCGGGUGGUGUGGACGCAGACGAGCAUGCGGAGCUCGGCGUCGGGCUUGGAGCGCUGCAGGUUUCGACGCUUGUAGCCCAGGAGGCGGCGGACCGGGUGGUGCACGGCGGUCACCACCGGCGUCACCAGCGCCGUCAUCAACGUCGAAACGAUAACCAGCACCGCAAACGACUCAUCGUCCAGCACCUGGAGGAGAGAGUUUUAUCAUUACAAUAAAAGUCGAACACAGAACACUCUGCUCUGAUACCAAAUUUUUAUAUUCAACAGUUAUGGAGUGUUUGAUAGAUAAUACCUCUUUAUCCCUUCCAAUGUUGAGUAUGAUCAUCUCGACGAGGCCUCUAGUGUUCAUCAAGAAUCCAAGCGCAAGCCCCUCGCGGAAGGGCAUUGUGUAGAACGCGGCGAUCAAAAUGGUGCCCAUGAUCUUUCCGACGCUCGCGAGAACGAAGACGAGGAUGAGAAGCCCGACGGUGAUGGAGUCUUGGAUCUUUCCGACAUCCGUCCGGAGCCCGCUGAUGGCGAAAAAGAGCGGCAGCAGAAGCCCGGUCACAAAAUCUUCCAACUUCUCAAUCAGCGCAACCCCUAAGGGGCCGUUCGGUAUCACGAGGCCGUAAACAAACGCUCCGAAGAUGGCGUGGAUGCCUAUGGCGUCGGUGGCGAUCCCGGAGAGCAUGACUCCGGUGAGGAUGAGGCAGACAUGGAAGUCGCUGACCCCUUCGCCUUCGGGGAUGCGGCGCGUGAGCCACCACAUGGCGGGGCGGACGGCGUAGAAGCAGAGGAGGACAAAGACCACGCCGGCGAGGAGGACCCAGAGGGAGGAGAGCACGCUGGCGUGCGUCUCGGAGACGGCGAUCGAGAGGGCGAGGAGGAUCCACGCGCACAUGUCGUUGACGAUGGCGGACGACAUGGCUAGGCGGCCCAGCUCGGAGUUGAGCAGCUUGAUCUCGGCGAGGAUGCGCGCGAGCACGGGGAAGGCGGUGACGGAGAGCGCGACGCCGAGGAAGAGCAGGAAUGAGGCCUGGUGCACGUUCUUCGCGAUGUGGUGGCGGAAGACGAAGGAGGUGGCGGUGCCGAUGCAGAACGGCAGUGCCAUCCCCGCCGCCGCGAUCACCAAUGCUUUCUUCCCCGACCGCCGAAUUAUCACCACGUCCAUCUCCACGCCGACCAAGAACAAGAAGUACAGCAAGCCGAGGUGCGCCACCGUCUCGAGCGUCAGAAGGCUUCUCUGGGGGAACACAUUCUCGCCCCAUUUUUGCGCCCUACCCAUCACCGACGGCCCCAAGAUUAUGCCAGACUGUACCAAAAGAAAAGGUUACAAAACAUGCAUAAUGACAUGCUCAUAGUAGAGAAAUAGUAUUUACUAUCUACUUUCUAAUUCUUAGAUCUAUAGCAGUAUCGUCACCGGACUGUAAACUCUAUGCGUUCAAGAAAUGAAAAGUAGAUAGCAGAAAGGGAGCGAAUUACGUACAACGAUCUCGGCGAUGACGCGGGGCUGGCGGAAAGGCUUGAGAAAGAGCACGAGGAGGCGGGUGGUGAGGACGAUGACGACCGUCUGCAGGAUGAAGAGCGGGAGCGCAAAUUCUAACGGAUUGACGCCCUGCCAUAUCCCGCUGGUGGUGAUCAUCGUCGGGGAGUAGCAGAUGACCAUGUUGUUCCCGGCACGGGUAACAUUCUUGAACGGAGUCAUAGUGAUGUUUCUGGAUUUCGUUGCCAUCUUCGCUCAUGGCAAUCUCCUUAGCUACUACGCUUGGUUAGAUAAAAUAUAAAAAAAAAUGUCUCCAAAAUCAAAUAGCCCUAAAGCAUUAAUUGAAGAACAUUACUUAUCAUUCUUAAGGGGACAAAAUUAGAAAUUUGAGGAGUUAAAUAGCAAAAUUUUAACUUUUUAGUAUAUGUUACAUAGAAUAGGAAAAGGAAAUGGUCAAUGAGUGUUCAUUGAUUGGUUUGACUUGUACUAGUGGUCAAUGAAGUUUUUAAAUGUUUUGAUUGGUUGUCCUAGAAUUUUGGAUUUAUGUGGUGUGGGGGGAGGAUAGAGAAACGUGGAAAGAAUUGAUGGAGAUUGUUGUUUGAUGGACCCGGUCCAUGUUCUCAGCCAAUCAGAAGUAUUAAUUUGAUUGAGUGGCCUUCAUGCUCCCCUUGUAGACUUGGUCUUGUGAUAAAUCCUUAUUUCACUCCAACCUCUUUUUCUAUUUUCCUUUUAAUUUUAAUUGGGAAAAGAUAAGUUGCCAACAUGAACUGCAACACACUUUUUGAGUUAUUCUUUUUCUUAUUUUUGAAAAUUCUAAUAUGUUAUGAUAAUAAGAGUUAAGCUGGAAUGUUGUCGGUAACAAACGGACUCUAUUGUCAUCCAUUUAUUUUCGAUAAUGGAGUUUCUAAAUCGACGAUCAACACCGUUGAAUAUAAUCUAUACCACUUAAAAUAUUUAAAAACCAAAUUUCAAAUCUUUCGACAUCAUUGACCUAAUAAUUUGGCUAAAUUACAGAAAAUCCCCCUGUAAUAACCCGCUUUUUCACUUUCCCCCCCUGACAUUUAAAAACCUACACUUUGUCCCCUUAUAAAAUGAAAAAUGUUCACAGGGGGGUUACGGUGUGUAAAAUGACCAUUUUGCCCCUCGCCAUUGUUGUCUUCUUCCUGAGCUUCCUCAGCCGCCCCUUCGAUCCGCCGGUUUUCCACCUCAAUCGGCCACGAUUCCUCUCAAAUUUCUUCUCCACCUGCUCCCCUUCUCCUCCUACACCGUCGCCGCCCAUCGAUUUCGGCGAUGGGUGUUGAUGGAGAGGUAGACAGGGACAACGAGAGCGAAGACGAGGCUGCGGAGGAGGACGAAGGGGACGUGGGCGAGGGCGAAGCAGUGGAGGACGGCGAGGCGGCGAGGCGGCGAAGCGGCGAGGCGGCGAGGCGGCGAGCCGGAGGGAGCGAAGCAUCCGAGAAGAGGCAGAGGGGUAUUUUCGGUAUAAAAAAAUAUUUUUUAACAGAACCCAUAACGGAACCCUAACGGAAGGGGUGAAGUGCACAUUUUUCAUUUUACAAGGGGGCAAAGUGUAGGUUUUUAAAUGUCAGGGGGGGAAAGUGAAAAAGCGGGUUAUUACAGGGGGGUUUUCUGUAAUUUAGCCUUAUAAUUUUAAUGGUCGAUAUGAGGCGUUUUUUCGUUUAACGGUAUAAUGAUUUUCAAAUCAAUUAAAUUUUGGUUAGAAAAUUCUUUAAACUAUUUAGAACAAAAUUUAUACUCUCCAUCUUAAUUACAAGAUUCUUAUCAUCAUUAUCAUUCAUUCUUAGCCAUUUAUUUUUAUAUCCACUUGGUAGACAAGAGAACAAUAUCGAAAAAGUAUGAAAUGCGAUUUCUAGAUACUUCAAAGAGUAUAAAUCAUGUUUAAUGGUGCCGAUCGUCAAUUUGGAGGCUUUAUCAUCGAAAAUAAAUGGGUAACAACGGAGUCCGUUUAUUACUGAUAACAUUUCAGCUCAACUCCUGAUAAUAAUAAAAUAUUUUAUUAAGUAACAGAAUAUUUUGAUUAAAUAAUAUUCUAUCAACAAAGCUAAAAUAUUAUUAAUUAAGAAGUACUUUUUAAAUAAGAAUAAUUGGUAUUUUAGGUUGUAAACCUGAUUUUUUUUUUCUUUUCUUUUUUUUUUAAUUCAUGCAUCUUGCAUGCAAUGCCUUAUAGUGUUAGUGUUAGGCACAAGGUUCAUACAAUUUAUACCUUUAAUAUUACAUUGAACAAGAGCUCCUUGAGCACCCAAAACAAAAUAGGUAUAAAUUUUACACACUCUCUAUUAAAACAAGCCAUUUUUUAACAUCAAUCUUAUUAUUUUUUUAAUAUUAAAAAUAUCAAAGGGUGUCUAAAUUUUUGGAUGGGACGAUAAAAAAUUUACAUCUAAUUUUUGAGUGUACAAAUAGUAUUUUUCCUUUAAUUUCGUUUUGUAAAUUUUGAAUACCCUUCUACCAAGCAGUAAUUUCAUCAACAUUCCUUCAGAGUUCAAACUUAAAUAUUUAUAUUGUUUUCAAAUGCCGCUACUUUUAGAAAUAUGUAUUAAUUUGAUGGAUUAGUUUUAAAAUUUUAUUUUUGCUCUCCGAAAAGCUAAAAACUUAAUUAUGAACUUACCAUCAUUAAAGCAAUUUUCACAAUUUUAAUAUUUUUUUUAAAAAAAUAAAUAAAAUAGAUAGAUUGCACACUUAGUAAGCAAUUAAAAUUAGUUUAUAAGCUACAAAAUUAAAAAUUAAAUUCUAAAUAAAAAAUAAAAAAAAUAACAUGUAUUAAUAAUUUGCCUUACAAGGAAUGGUUGACGAUAAAAUAAUCAUUUUAUCAACUUAACUAAGGGGCCGUUUGGUUGCAUAUAGUUGCAACUGCAUUGCAGUUGUAAUUACAUGUAAAUACAAAUUUCGUGUUUGGUUUGAUAUAUUUAACUCCAACUACUACAGUAGGAAUUGCAGGAGGGGGCUCAAUUGCAGCAGUUCGAACUACUCCCAAAUUGGCCGCAGUUCCAACCACAGCAGUUGGAGAGAGUAACUUUAAAUAAAAAAGUAUGCUUACCUCCUUAAUAUUUUUUUAACAAAAAUUAUUUUUUUUUAUAUUAGAGGUAAUCUCACCAUCAUAUAUAUAAAAUAAUAAAAUUUUAAAAAUUAUUUCUCAACUGCAUGCAAUCAAACAAAUUAUUUAUAUUUGCAGCCCUUUCUAUUAUAUCCAACCAAACAUAAUUUAUAUAGUUGUAACUGCUGUAUUUCCAAAUUCAUGUAUCUCUAACUACACUGCAUUUAUAAUUACAUCUAACCAAACGGCUCCUAAUAUUUAGGAAAAACUUCAAAAACCCCCCUUGUAGUUUCCAUUUUUUUCACUUUAGUACCCUGUGGUUUAAAAUAUAUCAAGUUAGUACCUGUGGUUUCUCACUUUAUCAGUUUAGUACCCUGUGGUUUAAAGUGUAUCAAGUUAGUUCCCUGUGGUUUUGCACUUUAUCACUUUAGUACCCUGUGGUUUUAAUUUUGUAUCAAGUUAGUACCCUGUGAUUUUUUAAAUUAUAGGGUACUAAAGUGAUAAAGUGUGAAACCACAGGGUACUAAAGUGAUAAAGUGAAAAACCACAGGGUACUAACUUGAUACACUUUAAACCACAGGGUACUAAAGUGAUAAAGUGAAAAACCACAGGGUACUAACUUGAUACAUUUUAAACCACAGGGUACUAAAAUAAAAAAGUGUGAAACCACAGGAGGGUUUUUUGAAGUUUUCCCUAAUUUUUAACUCUCUUUUAACCUGAGUAAGCUUAUAAAAGUUCACACUAGAAGCAUUUAUGAUUAAUCAACAGGUUGAGACUCCAAAUUCAAAUAGUCAGAAAUGAAAAAUACUAUCUGUACAUUAAAAAGAAUGAAGAGUUACAAAAAUCUUUAUAUUUGUCGUAAAAAAAAAUAAAAAUUACAAGACAAUGACUCAUUAUUGGCAUUUGCACGAGAGUUUACGAUUUAUACCUUAUUUUUGGGCGUAAAAGUAGCGGCACUUGGGCUACCAGUGGAUUAGGCCACGCAAACUCCGAACAAGAUAUGGCCCAAAAUUAGAGGAAAAAAUAAUUAUAGAGCCAAUAAGACGACAAAUUCAUUGAAGAGCUCAUUAACGAGAUCUCAACGAGAUAGUCAGAUAAGACAUAUGAUUCGCAACACAACCAAAUUUUGAAGGUCGCAUAACGAGAUCUAUUUUAUAAAAAAAGAAACCUAAAUGGCGAUCAACAAAGCUCAUUUACGAGAUCCCAACGAGAUAGUUGGAUAAAACAUACGAUUCAUAACACAACCAAAUUUUAGAGGUCGCCUAACGAGAUAUUAUUGUUGACGGAAAAAGAAACCUAAAUGGAGAGCAUCUCUUUCUUAUGCUGAAAUUUGUACAAAAAAUUGAUAGUUUAUAAUAACUUUCAAAAUUUGUGCGGAGUGAAUCCUUAGUCCCACAUAUUAGUCUCAAAAAAAGCUUGUAGAAGAUCUUCUCAACAAAGCCGCGAUCAUAUGGAAAAAAAUAAAGGAUUAAUUUUAUGCAGAUCCCUACAAACAUAGUAAAUGACAAAUAUAUUUCUAGAAAAUUUAACUUUCAUAUGUUGUCUUUACAAAUGUCCUGAUAUUUCUAAAUAUUUUCCUACCGUUAGAAAAAUUUAGUUAAUCACAGGUUAAUUAAAUACUUAACCUUGAUUGGUUUUUGACAUUUUACUUCUCUUAUAUUAUGUUGUUAUGAUUUUUAAAGAGAUAUAUUUGUGAUUGCAAAAUUGAAAAUAUAAAUAGUUUUCUAACGAUUCUCUAACGGUAACAAACCAGAUAAACAUAUUUGAAAAUAUUAAAACUUUUACAUGGACAACAUAUGAAAGUUGAACUUUGUAGAAAUAUAUUUGUCGCUCACUAUAUUUACAGGGACUUGUAUGAAAUUAACCCAAAUAUAUAUAUAUCAUAAACUGUAUCUAAUAUUUGAUAAUUUUUGUUUUAAAAUCAAAAUCUAUAUUCUAAUAUCACUUUUUGUGUUAAUUAUAGCCAUAUGCUCUAUUUCUUGUAUAAGGUCCAACUAAUAUGAAAGCUUUUAAAAUGUGCUGUGCUAGUUUCCACCAUUCAACUAAACAAGCAUUUAUUUCUUUUUUAACCAACCCCUGGCACCAUAAAUCAAAAAUAUGUGGUCAUUUUUAUUUUUAAUUAUUUUAUUUAUUUUUAUUUGUGGAAAAAAAAAUGUGUGGUCAUUUUUAUUUUUAAUAACUCUAUUUAUUUUUAUGCGUGGAAAUUAGUUAGGUGUAAUGUGAGAGGUUGUCCACAUCACAAAUCACCAAAUUAAAAGUGGUAGAUGACCCAUUUGAUCUAUAUAAUUCAUUUGCUCUGGUAAUAACUAUUUGGUCUAAAUUAUAUUUUUUGUCCUCAAAUUAAGAAGCUUGUAACACUUUAUUCUUUAAAUUUUAAUUUAUUAUGACUUCUUAGCUUGAGUUUUUUAAAUUAUUAUUAUAAUUAAGUCCACGUACAAUCUUAUUCAGUUGAGUAAAUAUUAAUGUGUCGCCAAUAAUGGUUAAAACGCCGCACCAGUUUUAGUCAAUUACAUUACGUUGUGGGACGUAUUUACAGUAAUUUGCUAUGUUAAAGCCAAGAUUAGAACGAAUUAAAAACUUAGUUUGAGGACCCAAAUUAUAAUUUAGCCUAAACUAUUUUCAUUCUAUUCAUGUAUAUUGCAUGUUCAAUUAGGAAGCGUAUUAAGUGCGUGCAUUGCCAAUCGAAUGAUAGUCGGGUCGGUAAAAAGCUGUUUUGUUUUUGGAAAAAGUAUAAAAUAAAAUUUUUCGAGAAAAAAGUUUUUCACAAACUCGGGCAACGAUCGAGCCUCCUCCGAGGCACGUACCGUCACCCACCGCAAGGGCACAAUAGAACCGUAGACUACAACGUCUUUGCACACCCGAAGAUUCGUCUUUGUCGGCCUUUCCUAAACUAAAGUGAAGAGUCGGAUUUUCGAUCGGAUUGCGUCAGCACGUUCAGCACGACUGGGGCAUUGAAUCUACAAUUUCUUUUCGUCCGAUUAGGUCGCCGAUUCACGACGGAACUUAUCCUCUCACCAAAAAGGCAAAACUACGCACAAAUACAUAAAUUAUAUGUAUCUCUAGUUUUCUCGAAAAUCGUACGUCAGAUCUAAAAUCUGUCAGCGCCAAAGAUUUCGGAAUAGUUGAAUCAUUGAAAACGAACUAUUGGAGUGCUAUGAACGGAGUCCGAUACGUAUCAGAAGUCAUCUCCAUUGAUCGGCCUCUCCGAAAAACCGAAGAUAGUUCGUCUAACUUUCUCGAUUUUGCAUUUUUAUCCGAAAAAGACGGACUCUUAUUCCAUUUCUAUAUGCUUUCUAUAGAUCCAACUUUUUUUUCAAUCUCACAUCCUUUGGUUCUAAAAAUAUAUAUAUCCUCUUUUUUUUCAAAUUUUUUUAAGGAAAAUGUGUUUUUAUUUUUUUUAUUUUUUUUCCUGAAAAAUGGGGGACAGAUAAAUAAGCUUAUUAAAUUUAUUUAUUAUCUGGUCUAUAAUUGGAUUGGUAUUUUGAUUGCAAAUCAACAGGUUGAAAGUUCGAUCCCCAAUAUGUCCCUAACAUUUUUUAAUUUCUCAUUUGGGUGCCUAAACUUUUUUUUUUUUGUUUCAAAUGUGCGCGCUUGUCCUAUCAACCUAAAUCUCGUUAUUCUCAAUAUCUUCCUUGGCACUUACGACUAUCUUAUCUUUGCGCAGGAUAUCUAUUGUCUCUUUUGCAGCAUCUGACGAUAUCUUUAGCGUCGAGUCAGAAGUGCUACCAGUUUUUUAAACAAACUGAUAAAAAAUUAGUGGCGAAGAUUGAUUAUGGCUGUCAAGCGACGACAAUAAUUUAUAUGACUAGGUAGAAUUUUCUUUUUUUACUAGAGUUAAUAUGGCUUAUUUUGUCGAAAUUAUCAUGAAUUUGAAUAGUUCAUACCUAAUUAAUUGAAAAUAAAAAUUAAAAUAUUAAUGACAUAAUAGUAAAGAAAAAGAUUUGGACUCCAAAGUGCAAAAUUGGUAAAUGUUAGGUACUCUUGGUGCAAUUAACCCAAAAACAUAAAAAAAAAAUUAAAAAAAAAUUAGAAUCGAAUACUAAGGUCAACAUCAAACGUGUAGUCUAAAAUAUAAAAGAUAUCCAAGUCAAAAUAUAAAUCAACUGCAGGUCUUCUUCGCAAUUUGCACGGGCCCAACGGUCAAAGAGAACCGUUGGGUUUGAAUUUUGACGUGCCCUGUUUUUUUCUCUUUUUUUUCUUUAAUUUAACAGUUAAUAUUUUUUCUAAAUUAAUUAUAUUGAUAUGCAAAUGGUGCGUGAUUCAAAUAAAUUUUGUACGUUUUUAAUAAAUAAAAAAUAAUAAUCUAAUUAAAGAAUAAUAUAAUAAUGUUAUAUUAAAUUAAAAUAUAUUUUUAUAUUUUUAAAUAAAAAGAAAAUUUUUAAUUGAAACGUGGUUCCUCUUGCAUUAAGUAGAUGUUAUGUGACUGAAAAGACCCUCAACUAUCCUGAUGUUACACUUUGAUCUGCUUCUCACCUGUAGUUCUUAAAUAUUUUUGUAUAUAUAUAUAUAUAUAUAUAUAUAUAUAUAUAUAUAGAGAGAGAGAGAGAGAGAGAGAGAGAGAGAAUGCUAUCGAUAACAAACGGGCUCCGUUGCCACCCAUUUAUUUUCGAUGAUGGAGCCUUCAAAUCGACGAUCGGCACCGUUGAAUAUUAUCUAUACCACUUGAAGUGUUUAGAAAUCAAAUUUCAUAUAUUUUCGAUAUUGUUCUCUUAUCCAUCGAGUGGACAUAAAAAUGAACGGCUGAAAAUGAAUAUUCUUUAAAAAAUGAUAAUAGGAGUCUUGUAAUCAAGAUCAAGAGUAUAAAUCUCGUUUUAAAUAGUUUAAAAAUUUUCUAACAAAAAUUCAACUGAUUUGGAUAUCUUUACGCCGUUAAACGAGAAAACGCCUCAUAUCGAUCAUUAAAAUUACAAAUUUUAAAACCUUUUGAUCACUAGGCAGAUGAUGUCAAAAAGAAUUGAAAUUUGAUUUCUAAACACUUCAAGUGGUAUAGAUCAUGUUCAACGGUGCCGAUCGUCGAUUUGGAGGCUCUAUCAUCGAAAACAAAUGGGUGGCAACGGAGCUCGUUUGCUGUCGAUAGUAUUCUAGCUCAACUAUAUAUAUAUAUAUAUGAAAAAACUUCAAAUAUCAUCUAUAUGGUUUCAUAUUUUUUCGUUUUAGAACUCUGUGAUUUAAAGCGUAUUAAUUUAAUGUCUUGUGGUUUUACCGUUAUCUUUUUAUUAUCGAUUUCACUAGUUUUUUUCAUUAAAUUAAUAAUAAAGUUAAAACUAAAAGGUACUCAAGUAAAUAUUUGAUAAACUAGGUAAAAUAAUUGAAGCUUUUUGUAUAUAAUUUAACGAAAUAUUAACGGAGAAACUGACGGAAAGAUAAAAAUGAAACCAUAAAACACUAACUUGAUACACUUUAAAUCAUAGGGUAUUAAAAUAAGAAAGUGCAAAAUUAUAGGGGUGGUAUCUGAAGUUUACCUAUAAAAUAUAUGAUACAUAAAUUUUUGUCAAAAUUUUUUUUUUUUUAUCGUGUUUAAACUAAACUGCAUGUAAUAAGUAAUUGUUUAUGAUAAGAAAAAUUAGAUUAACACAUAAAAUAGUUAUACAUUUCACGCCCUUUUUUGUAAAUAAAGAAAAGAAUUUGCAAUACCUCAAUUUUAUUUAUUUAAUUUUUUUUUAUCUUGGUCUCCAAAAAACAUAAAAAAAGAAAAAUCUAACCUAUUUUUUGAUUUGACAAGUUCGAUCGACAUAUUUUUCUCUUUACAAUUUUGAAUUGAAAAUUCACUUUUUCUCACCUCUUUUGUUGACCUGGGAAAAAAUCAAAAGUCAAAAAAAGAAUUUUUGGCGGAGGCGCAACGUAAGCGCCAAACGAAGCAUUUACAUUGUUUGAACAUGUGAAGAAGUCAAAAAUAGUAGCAGCAUGAGAGAAGAAGGUUUUUUUUUUUUUUUUUUGAGAGAUAAGUAGCACGCUAUCCGCUUCGUUUAUUUUUAGAAAUAAACUUAGCUGGAAAUAUAAAUCAACUAGGAUUCGGAACUUAGGUCUCGGGUACCAACCACUAAUCCCUUUGCCACUUGAUCUAGAGACGGUCGAUCAUGAGAAAAGAAGUUGAGAUUGGAAAAGUAGCUUCAAGGUGUGAUUUGUUGAACGUAGUAGCUCAAUUUUUUUUUAAAAAAAAUAGUUAAUUCACAUAAUUUAAUAUGACAUCAAAGCAAUAGAUCAUGGGUUUGAGUCCUGCCACGCUUCGUUAUUUAAUUUUCUUCUAUUUAAUUCAAAAUUCACAUACUGUAUCUAUCCGAUAGUCUCAAACUAUAAACAAUUAUGGUAAAAAUGUAUAAAGUUUCUCUAAACUGUCGCCUGUACAUUUUGAUUCAACUACUUGACUUUUAUAAGUUUGAUUUUGAUACCCAAUAUUUCGAUUUAUCUUAUAUAAGCCAUUUGAUUACUUUUUCGGUGCAAGUUUUAAGCCAAUUACUUAUUCUAAUAAAAUUAUAGUUACAUAAAUUAUAUAAAAUACACUAAUUAGACCCGUAAAAAUAAAACGAUACAUUCAAAUUUUAAAGUUUAUCAGUCAUAAACAGCUCAAAUCAAAUGACUUAAACAAUUAGAUAGCUGGAUCAAAAUUGGUCAUAGUUCAUAUAUGUUCCACACAUUAAAUUAGAGCAAAAGCUUUAGCACAAAACCUACUUGAUUCGAGAAAGAGGUUAAAAUUUUUUAAAAGAUUUUAAUUAUUUGCUAAUUAACAACUAAUUAACUGAUAUUUUUCAAGUGGAAAAUACAGAGCAAUUUUGCAACAUUCUAAAAAGAAAAAUUGUGAAAUUUAAUGUUCUCACAAGUUUAUGCGCUUCAUCAUCAAUUAAACAAAAGGCACAGCACAAAUACUACGUGACCCUUUUAGACACCAUACACUAUUGCUUCUAUUUUUGCCUAAACUUUGUACUAAAAUUGUACUUGUUAAGUAGAUGACAUAUUUAAUUAUGCCUAUUUAUUUUUGUCCACCAUUUCACAAUUUCUCACAUUCCAACAAACAUAAAAUUGAAUAGAGAAUAUAGUACUCUAAAGUUGAGGAUAAAAUUCACAAUUUUUUUUUGACUUGGUAUGCAGUUACUUUUGUUUUAAAAAAUAGGGUUAAUUUCAUACAGGUUCCUGCAAAUAUAAUGAAUAGCAGAUAUAUUCCUACAAAGUUCAACUUUUAUAAGUUAUUCCUGCAAAAGUUCUUAUGUAUUCAGAUAUGUUCCUACCAUUGAUCUCCGUUAGAGAAAUCUAGUUAACCACAAUUAAAAUACUUAAUCAUGAUCAGUUAAAAAGGUAAAAUGAUAUUUUUACCAUUCUUCAUCUUCCUCUCCUGCUUCUUCUUCUUUUUCCGCUUCCUCUCCUGCUUCUUCUUCUUCCUCUUCUUCUUUGUAUCUUCAUUUUCCUCCUUUUCUCCUCUUUUUUCUUCUUCGUCAUCGUCGUCGAUGAUCCGAUCGUCGUCGCUGUCGUGGUGCCCGCGUGGGCCGUUGUCACGGGCGCCUCCGACGGCAUUGGCCACGCUAUGACCCCGACAAGUUCCGCAACCCCGUUGGCCGCAACCCCGACAAGCACCGCAAGGUCGCCGUCACCGCCGCCGCCGUUCGCUCCCAAGCCGGAAGAGGAAGAGGAAGAGGGCAAGGAUAAAUUUGUCAUUUUACAUAUUUACUGUUAAAAAAUUAACAGUUUUCUAACUGAUCUUAACCAGAGGGACAUAUCUAAAUACAUUAGAACUUUUGUAUGAAUAACUUAUGAAAGUUGAACUUUACAUGAAUAUAUCUGCUAUUUAUCAUAUUUACGAAAACCUAUAUAAAAUUAACUCUAAAAAAUAAUAAAUAUAUAUAGGACGAGUAGGAGAGCUAAAAUGAGCUUUUGGAUUUUAUGGUCGAAAAGUUCAAUUUGAAAAUGAUUUGAUCAAUUUCUAAGAAAAAGAAAAGGAAAGUAACUACUACUUGGUCAAAAUUAGGUGGUUUUAUAACAUCAAGGUAAAAGAUAAUAACAACAAUAAUACUAACUUUGUUGAUUGUUAUUUUUGUUUAAGUAAGCCGCACCGUCACAAAACAUAUUAUAAUACAGUUUAUGAAUCAAUUUUGCUUAUGUAAGAAUUGGUAGCUCGCGAUAACUAUUAAUUUACAAAAAUGUUUUAGAAUAAAUUAAAUAGUCAGUAUUAUACAUUUGGUCGAUACAGUCAUCCGAAUUUUCAAAUCAUAAACGCGGUAUUUAAGCUGUAUUUGCGAAUAUCGGAUAAAUUGUUUUAAAACACUUUUAUAAAGUGCCCAUAACAAUACAUAGAUUAUUAUUACAAAAAUAAUUGGAUCCCUUCUCUUUUUUUUGGUAACUUUAUUUUUUUUUUUAUUAUUAUUAUUAUUAUUAUUAUUAUUAUUAUUUAUAUUAUUUUUCCUUCUCCUCUCGUAGGCUAAUAAACCCUUUGGGACGUUACAUGGACGUUCCAACUCCAAGCACAUAAAAUUUAAGUAGUAGAUUACGUGGCAGAUUCUGAUUGGUGGAAUAAUCUUAAUCAAAGACUCUCCCCCCCCAAUGCGUUUCUUGCGUGAAAUUGGUGGCGAAGGAUUCGCUACAACCCCCGUUGCACAACUUUAUACAACCCAAUCAGGUCAUUCAUUAAAAAAUUUUAUAUUUUAUUUCCAUAAAAGGAUAUAUUUUUUUUUAAAAGGAAAAAAAAAGAGAAGGGUAAAUUAAAUUUCUGCAUAAUGACUUGUAAAAAAAGAAAAAAAAAAUCUCAUAUGGCUUUUAAAAAAUGUUUAUUAUUAAAUUAUUACUUGCUAUGCACAUCUAAUUUUGAAUUAAUUAUAUUUUCUAUUUAUUUGAAAUUAAUUAUACCUUAUGAUUUAAUAUAAGAUACUUUACUAAAAUUGUGCAUUUACCUCCAAUUCUUUUGGUGUAAAACUCUAUAAUCGUUGCAAAUUUUAAAAAUUAUACCAUAAAAGAUUUAAAAAUAAGUAUAAAAUAAACUAAUAAGCUGUAAAGAAUUUAUACAUAGGCUUUAAUUUUCUUUAAAAAAAAAACACAACAAUUUUCAAAAUAAUCACGAAUUUUUUGGAGUUCGUAGCGGUUCCGUACAUGCACGGUUAUAUGAGAUCCACAUCAAUCUUUAGGAUCCUCGCACAAGUAUCGCCACGUGUCCACCAGUUCCAUCCAACGGCUCUCGACACGCUGAAUCUCGUUGCGUUUUAACGACGACUAAUCCAACCGCUUCUGGAAUCGUAGACUCGUAGUCAAUCGAACGCUGUUAUUUAAAAUUUUUUUUUAAAAAAAAAAAAAAAAUGCAAAGAGACCCCCCACCUAUUUUCAAAUUUUAACAACGCCAACAUUUUUUUCAAUUACAUUUUUUUUUUUAUACAGAACAAAGUAAGCUGAAGCUAUCCGUUUUGUUCAUUUUAUUUUUCAAAAAAUAACAAUUUAAUUUUUUUUAAGUUUUGAUCCGAUCAUCUAAUAAAUGAAAACUAAUUUGAUUUUAAUUUUAGUUUGUCGGUAUGAAUAUUUGAAUUUUUUAAGACAGUUUAUGCAGCUUACUUAUCGAUCAAUUGACUGAUUAAUUAAUUAAUUAAUUAAAAUUAAGUUGGUUUUUGGGGUUGUGCUUAUUGUAUCAAGUAAUAGCUUUGUGUUAAAAGUUAAUAUACAUACAUAUAUAAUUAUAUAUGCACUGAGUUGGUUUCUAAUUUGUUAACCCAAAAUCAAACCAAAAUUUUUAACUAAAAUUCCAACCAAAAUUAAAUCAUUUAUAUUUUCGGUUUAAUUGCGUGAUUUUUUCUGUGUUAUGCUCAAUCCUACUUAAAACUGAGAUGUUAAUUUUAAAAAAAGUUAAAAUUUUAGAGAUGUUAAUAAAAAAAUAAAAAAAUAAAGUUGAGGGCUCUGUUCGGAAUUACCUGUAGGUGAGGGGGUGUUCAUAAAUUGUCACCUUGAACAUAUAUAAGAGAUAUAUAUAUAUAUAUACCGAAUAAAGCGAGCGUUAAUUUCUCUCUCUAGUUCUCUCUCUCUCUCUCUCUCUCUUCAAUCUUCGUCUCCGUAUUCCUUGUUCCAGGUAAUUUAUUUUAAAAUCGAUUCCCAACGAAACAGUUUUUCUCUUUUUUGCGUACUCCUCAAUAUGUUUUUAAGUUAAAUUCUUAGGUUUCGUAGCAUUUUGGUGUGUUUGGGUUUAUGGGUUUAUGUCCUUUUGUGUUCUUUGUUAGGUUUUUUUUUUUUUUGCAAUUUUUUGAGAGAUUUUAAGAUAAAAAUUGUAAAGUUUUGAGCUUUUUAAUUAGUAUGUUUUUGUUUGUUGGGUAGUAAAUUUUUCGUUUUUUUUUAUUAAUUGUUCAGUUUGAAGGAGGAGGCGAUGGAUUGGAAUUUUGGCCCCAGAGAACAAAUUCUAUGGCCUGUUACUAUUUUCUCUGGAAUUAUCAUGUGCAAAAUUGUAAGUGUUUCUCCAAAUUUUGGUGUAGUUUUUUAGUUUUUUGAAAUAGAUAAUGUGUUAAAUCAUUAAAUUUCUCUCCUGUGGCUUAAUUUUGGUGAAUUGUUUUAAGUUUCUCUCUUCAUAUAUUCCUUUAUUGUAAUUUUUCUUUUAUUUAUUGUAAGUAGCUAAUCUGAAUUUGUGAAUUGGUUCACUAAUUAGAGAGAAAAUUAAGAAAAUGUAUUAUAUGUUCAUAAGCUUUUUCUAAUAUCUCUUGUUCUCUUUUUAUGGGCCCCUUGUAUUUGUCUCCCUUUAACAUUACAUUUAUUUAUAUUAUCCACUAGAUUAGGGUUUUUACAGUGGUAAUUAUUUGAUUAAAGCAAACAAAUAGCCAAGUAAAUGUUAGCAAUUGAUGAUGUGGGUAUAACUCGAUAUUAGUUUGCGAAUUAAAUUUUGAAGAUUCUGAUAUGUACGAUAAUUGAUCAAUUAGACCAUUCCUGGUUUGUUGUUAAAUAUUGCAAAUAUUCGAGACCGGUUUAAUACAAUUUGUUUCGUUCUCGAAGGUAUAUGAGAUCACGCACCGCGUUAGUCCCCUGUUCUUUAAGGGCUAUAAUGGACUAAACAAAAUGCAAAAGAUCGAGUGGAAUAACAGGUCAGAGAUGUUUACGUACAAAUUUGUGGUCGCGAUAAGAAUCCCAUAAUUUGGUUUAUCCUCCUCUUCUUUUCUGCUAAAGAUUUUUGAAAUUUUCGCGCAGGGGUUUCUCUACAUUUCAUGCAUUUGUUGCUGCGGCGAUUUCUUUUUAUCUGACAGUGAUAUCAGACCUUUUCAAGGAAGAUGCUAGCAGUGUCCUAAUCAUAGAUAGAAAAUCUUGGCUAUCUGACGCCAUAUUCGGGGUAUGUUCUUCAGUCUAAAAUUUGAUUAAUAAUUGUGUAGUUUCUUUUGAUUACGAAAAUGUUGUUUACCUAAAGAUUAUGCUGUUACUGUACAAUACAAAACUUUUAAAUUAAUACGGAGUUAAGAUACGGCACAGCUAAUCGUUUUGCUCAAAUAAUCCUUCUUUUUAGACUAGAUGAUAUUUGUAUGUAACAAUCUCCGCAGCAUCUUAAUAUAUUAUAAUCUCGAGAUAAAUCUUAGAAAGUACUAUUUGUCAGCGCAAACACUUACCGAAUUGACCUGCCUAAUGUUCUGAAACAAAAUACAGAUCUCUCUUGGUUAUUUCCUUUCGGAUUUGGUGAUGAUCCUGUGGCUUUUUCCUUCGUUAGGCGGGAAGGAAUAUGUGAGUAUUAUCAUUCAAAUUCCUAACUAGUGACCACUUAAAGUUCCCCCCUACAUGUUAAUUAAAUAUUUGUUUUCUUGAUGAAUCCAGGUACUGCAUCAUGGGCUCUCCAUGUAUUCAAUCCUUCUCGCUCUACUGUCCGGCAAAGCGCAUCUCUAUAUUCUUAUGGUUCUCUUUACUGAAGCGACGACUCCCUUUGUAAACCUUAGAUGGUACAGUUUGGCAUAGCAUUUUUUGUAAAGUUCCUAGCUCACUUUAAUCUCCUAUUUUUGAAGUUAAUUACUGUAUUUUCGCAGGUAUUUGGAUGUUGCUGCACGAAAAAGUUCGAAUAUCUACAUAUACAAUGGAGUGGCCUUGUUCUUUGGAUGGCUGGUAACCUAUACCGCUUAACAUAUAACAUAGUGAAGUAAUAGACAUUCUAAUUUUGGAUUAUGAUCCAUGCCAUGCUAAAGUUUCCGAUGAAUGAUCUGCGUGUGAUGUCGGAAAUUUUGUCGUCUCGAUCAGAUGACUGUUUGUCAGGCUAAAAUGCAGGAAAACCCGUAUAGAUUUUGCAAUUUCACAUUUCCCCUGGUGGAGGUUUGAAACCUGAUGUUACCCAUCAACUUAUGGGCAAAGUGAUAGUUCAUUGCUGCGAAGUGAUGAAAUCUUGUUUGUUCAAGGGAACCAGUGUAUAAGUUUAGCCCUUUAUAAUAAGCAAUUAAUACCGGAGACAUUCCUAUUAAGAGACUUUUUUUUAUCUCACCAUUAUGACUAGCAAUUGAGAUCAAAACUUAGUAGAACAAGUUUAAAUCAACCCAUGAACAUCGCAAAAAGCAUAAAAAACUGUCAAUGAACACAUGAAAUCAGACGCGCUUUUUACUGUUAGAACACUACUUUUACGAUCUUCUAACAGAUUGAUUAUUUGUUCAGGUUGCCCGGAUCCUUCUAUUUGCAUACUUCUUCACUCACAUUUAUCUUCAUUUCGAUCAGGUAGGCAGCAGGCUCUCUUAUCAAAAAAUACGCUCAUUCGGAACACUAAUAUGCUGAAAACAAAUUAAAAAUAUAUAACAAUUUUCGUCAUGACAUCAAAAUAUAAUUCGAAACCAGUCCCUUAUUAAAGAUGUUUACUCUUAUUCUUUUUUCUGUUUUUAUUAUCCCCAGGUGAAAACCAUCUUUCCUCUUGGCUUCUAUAGUCUGAUAACGGUGCCUCCGAUGCUGGCUUUGAUGAACUUGUUCUGGUUCUGGAAGAUUUUCAAAGGAAUGGUGAAGACCCUCUCGAAAAAGAGGCGUACACAAUGACGAAAUUUGCGACAUUUCUCUCUUUUUCUUCAUUUUCCUCUUAUAAGAGUAGUAAUAAUUUCGCCACACUAAAAGUUUGUAUUAGUAGCAUGAAUUUUCCUCUUUUAUCUUCUCAUGCAAUGUACAGUUGAUCAGGUGAAUGCAGCAAUGUGAUACCUACUAUUUUCUACACUUGUAUAGCAGAGAAUCAAUCCAAUUCCAUUUUCUCAGAAAUAAGGAGAUUAGUAGUUUUUGAAUUCAAUUUAAAAGAGUUUGAAAUUGGUGCAUAAAUUCUCCCUCUAAAUUUAUCUGACAGAAUAUUCUGUAAUCUGACAAAAUUUUAUGACAGUAUAUGCUACUUUUUCUGAAGGGAAACAUAUGGUAAAAUUAGGUUUCAAAAUUAAAAAAUUUUAAAAUUUUCUUUACUUCAAAAUUUGUGCGCUAAAUUUUUUCGCAGACUUUUUAGUCCCUGCACAUCCAAUUUUCCUUUCCAGCAAAAUAAUAUAAUAUAAUGUAUUAUUAUAUGAUUUUUUAAAUCUAUUAAUAAAUAUAGAAUACAGCCUUUGAUGCUGCCUAAGAUAAAAUUUAACAAUAAAUUUGAAAAAAAAAAACUUAAUGACGCGAUAAAAUUUAAACUGAUUGCGACUAAAUUAAAUUAAAUUUUAAAAUAAAAAAUAAUUUACUAUAUUUUUUUAAAAUCUGUGGAGUGUCUGCAAGAUUAGGGGCCGUCUCAAAAUUUUAAGUUGAACACGAUAAUUCAAUCAUUAUAUUCAAACACGGUGAUUGGAUUAUAUUUUUUUUUUUUUGUAUUUUUCAUCGCCCUAAGCUAAAAAAGAGGAAAAAGAGGGAUUAGAGUGUGAUUGGAUUACUUUAUUCUUUUUGUAUUUUUUGUCGUCCCUCAGUUAAAAAAGAAGGAUUAUGGUGUAAAUAUAAACACGGUGAUUCAAUCACCAUAUUUAAACACAAUGAUUCAAUCAUUGUGUUCAACUUAAAAAUAUCAAUGUGACGCUCACAUAGUAAGAAAAAAGAUAUAUAUGUAAUAUAUAAAUUUGUUAGAAUUAUUUAUAAAUUUUUUUUUGGAGAAAGCUAAAUAUAAAAAAUUAAAGCCUUUGAAAAGACUUACUUAUUAUUAUUAUUAUUAUUAUUAUUAUUUUGCAGCAUAAAUUUCAUACGGAAUACCAGAAACUUUUUAAUUUUUAUUUUUUGUUGAUCAAAUAUGCCAUUAAAAGUAACUAUAAUUAAAUUGAAAAAGUUAAAAGCUGUGUCAAAUAACCACUUAACAAAAGCUUCCAAAAUGCUCCCAACAAUUGUCAAAAAGGAAAGUUAUUAAAAAAAAAAAGUGCUUUAAUUUUAGCGCAGCAUCGAGCUAACAUGUAUUAAAGAGAUGCAUAAAAAAGUGUGCCCCAAUCAUAUAAUUAAUUGUUAUUAUGCAUUAUCCGCACGAAUAUUACAGUUUUUUUUUAAAAAAAAAGGAGUCGACGUGUUAAAAGAAGGUGCUAAAUUAUACGAACCUGUGCACUCCACCACCGACUACUUACGAAAAAUUAAUUAAAAAAAAGGUUAAUAUAUCAUACUGCUCUCGUGAACCUAGUGAAUAACAGAUAUAUUUCUAUAAAUUUUAAUUUUUAUAUUAAUUUUUAUAAAAAUUUUAAUAUUUUUAACUAUAUCUUGACUAUUAGUAUUUUUUAAAAAAAUAUAGUUAAUCAUAGAUAAAAUAUUUAAUCUUGACUAGUGAACGAGUAAAUUGACCUUUGUACUCCUCUUAUAUUAUUUGUGAUAGUAAAAAAAAAAAAAAUGAUCGUUAAAAAUUUUUAGAAGGAUAUUUCUGUAUAAUUCUAACAAUUGAAAUUUUUAGAGAGAUAUAUUUGUAAUGGCAAAUGAUAUUUUAUUUAUCUUCGGUUAAAAAAUAAAUAGUGAUAUAACAGUAACAAACCAGAAUAGUAAAUAUGAAUAUUAUUGAACUUUUGUAGAAAUAAAUAUGAAAAGUUAAACUUUAUAAUAAUAUAUUUGCUAUUCGAUAUAUUUAUAGGUAGCUGUAUAAAAAUUAAUCCUAAAAAAAUUUAUUGAACUACAUGUCAUACUAUGAUAUACCGUAUUUAGAUAGCAUUAUUAAGGGUAAACUUCAAAUACCAUUCCUGUGGUUUCACACUUCCUCACUUUAAUACCUUGUGAUUUAAAGUGUAUUAAGUUAGUGUCCUGUAAUUUUAUUUUUAUUUUUUCGUCAGCUUUUUCGUUAAUAUUUUAUUAAAUUAUAUACAAAAAAACUUUGGAUACUUCACCUAAAUUUAUCGAAUAUUCACUUUAGUACUCUUUAGUUUUAACUUUGUCACUGAUUUAACGAAAAAAAUUAGUGAAAUCGAUAAUAAAAAAAUAAAAAUAAAACCACGUGAUACUAAAUUAAUACACUUUAAAUUAUAAGGUAUUAAAAUGAGAAAGUGUGAAAUCAUGGGUGGUAUUUGAAAUUUUCCCUAAUAUUAACACGUGGUUUUUGUUUCGUUUUUUUUACCAAUUUACCCUUUCCAUUGGUGAAUGGUGAUGUUAACCCCGACCGUUAACGCCUCGAAAACGCCGUUACGAGUCCCUGCGCCUGCCCCGUUCUCGCGUUGACCACCCGUUACAAUCGAAGCGACCAAGAAACCUUCCGAACACGCGGGCGAAAAAAUGCAAGGGGACCCCUCACCUGUUGAACUCUUUGGAACGCAUCCUCUGCCAUUUUUUUUUUCCUUAAACUUUCAAAAUAUUUUGAUUCACGUAAAUAGUUUUUAAAAUUAACCAGGUUAUUAGCUGUUUGUCAUAAAGUAAUUAAUAGAAUAUCUUAAAUUUUAAUAAAUCUCAUCGAUUUCACCAAAUUUGUGAAUAAUACCACUCAAUUUAAUUAAUAGUAAAAUAAUGUAUAAAUAAAUAAAAUAAUUUUAAAAAAUUACUAAUUAAAAUGAAAAUAGAAGUUACCUAGUUAAAAAUAAUGUAUAGUUAAGGGGUUUUCCUAGAAUUUCACCGUCUUCUACCUUCGCAAGAGCUCUUCAAAUACACACAAACACCUCCACCUUAAGUCUCUCUCUCUCUCUCUCUCUCUCUCUCUCUUCGACGCGGUACGCUCACCUCCUCCCCCGUGUUAUUCUCACAGCCUCGUAGUGUAGUGCGCCAAUGUGGCUCCGCUCCUCCGCCUCGCGGCUCCUGCCACGCGGGGUCCCCGGCGCUCUCCGAGCGGCGGCGGAGCACACGACCCUCCUCCGCCGAGCCUCCUCCGCCGCCCCGGCGCCGGAUCUCGGCCGCGGCGGCGGCGGCGGCGGCGGGGGGGAGGAGGGGGAGGAGGAGGGGCUGAGCCCGGCGGAGGCGCGGCGCCUGGUGCGGCUCGUGGACGUGGAGGCUGUAAUAUCCCUUAUGGCUCGGGCUUGUAUAUUGCUGUUCUCGGUGCUUCUGGUCGCGGAUCCGAGGUAACGUAAUCGGUAACCGAGGCUAGAGAGGUAAGGAAAUAGAGAUAGAAAUUGGGAUUGAGAUAGAGAGAAGAGAAAUAGAGGUAGAGAGAUAGACAGAUGAGGAUUGAGAGGUGAGGGUUAGGGAAAAGAGUUGGGAUAGAACAAGAGAUAGAGAAGAAGAAGGGUUUGGAGAAGAACCCUUGGGGGAGAAAUAGACUAUUUCAUUUUCAUUCAUGAUCUCUGUUUACAGCAUAAUUUGGUAUAUAUACUAUCUACUAACUCAUACUGGAAUGUAAAAACAACUAGGCUAAGAGGGCUAAAGUGCAAAAGUGGUUAAUAGAGAGGUAUGGCCGGUGGGCUGCAAUUCCGCGGGCAAUUGGGCGUUAAUUGGGCUUGACCGGUCAUGAGCAUCCAGUAAGCGGGUAAUAGGGCGAACGGAUAUCGGGUUUCCAUCUCCGCAGGAUCCUCAAAGGAGCGGGUUUUGGGUCCGCCUUUUCCCUCCGCUCCGGAGAUCUGCAGCUUCGAUCCGCCAGCUCCCUCCUUCGCCCCCAAUUGUCUAGAUUUGGUCGGAGCUCCCUUCUUCCGCCUCGAUCUCCUCUCACCCUCUGCCUCGAAGGAUGCCCUAGUUCUCUCUGGUUUGCCUCCGUCCGCCCGCCUGAGCCUCCCUGCGACCACACUUCUCGCCGGUCCAGCUCGGCGCCCUCACGCCGCCGGAGCUCCACCCGAACUCGCACCUUCCUCAACCUGCCGUGGCCCUUAUUUCUACUCUUACUAUUGUAAAGUUGACAUUUUUACUUCCUUCCCCUGCUAACUAUUAAACUACUUAUUCUUCAGGGCAUUACAGAGGCGCUGAAGAGGCGCAUACGGGAGCGCGGCGGCGGCGACGGGGAGGUGAUCGGGUACUCGGAGCUCCUCGACGCGUGCGAGGGCGCCGGGGUGGCGCGCACCCGCGCGGAGGCCGCCGCGGCGGCGCGCGCGCUCGACGAGGCCGGGGUCGUCCUCCUCUUCCGCGACAAGGUCCAUCUCCACCCCGAGAAGGUGAUCGAUCGAUUUCGAGCUCCCACCCACCCCACCACCUCCCCAACAACUUUUCCCCUUUUCUCCUUUAAUUUCAACUUUUCCCCUUUUCUCCUUUAAUUUCCUAAUUAUGGGUUUGGGGUAAAUUAGGGUUUCUUUGAUAUUUCUAUGCUGGAUAUUUUGCAGUUUAUAAAAAAGAAAAAGAAGGUUUUCGCAAAAUUAAUGGAGAAAUUUGAAUUGGUUAUCUCUUCUUUUGAAUUGAUUUCAUAUAGGCAUGAAACAAAAAACAACUUUUUUAAUUAUUUUCGGUUCUAAAUUGGGUAUUUGGUACUUUUUCCCGAAUUUAUGGGAAGAACAGGUUUUUUUUUUUCUUUUGUGCGAAAUUGAUUAUGAGACCUGAGAUGGGUUUCUCUCCUCUUCAAUCGAUUUCACAUUCUGUUUCAAAAUUUUUGAUUACCAUCUUUGAGAUUGUGGGUUUCUUGGUUGGAGAAGAGAUUAGAGAUUUUUUUAAAUUUGAAAAAAGAAAAAAAAUUGCUUUGAUUAGUCCUUUUUAUUUCCAUAGGAUUUUGGCCAUCAAAUAAUAAACAAGAAAUUCAAUAAGAAUUGAAAAAUAUCAACUGAUAAAGAUUGAUUAGAUUUUUUAAAUGCUUGUUGGGGCACAAGUUUACUGCUGAUUAUUAUAUGUACAUGAUUUUGUACUUGGACCUUCUAAAUUUGGAAUUGCUCUUAUUUAUUCAUAUAGAAUACAUAGCAAAAGUGGAUUAUUAUUAAUAUAUAUGUUUACUUUAUAAUAUCUUCAUGGACCACCUUAUGUUGCCCCCACUUGUUGGCAAGAAAUAAAAAAGAAAAGUUUUUUUUUUUUGUUCAAUUGUCCCUCCCUCAAAUAGAUAACAAGCAAUCAGAGAGUUUGCGUUCGUCAGAGAUGCUCAAAUUUGUAUUAGCUCUAAUUAUGUACUUUUAUAUAUUUUGGAAAUAUAUUUCGAAAAACGACGGAGGUUUCCUAAUUCAGAACCUUCUGCUUUGAUGCUACGUGGGAUAACUAGUUUUUUAUUAAAAAUUUAAGCCAUUACUGAAUAAUGUGGUUAUGUUUAUAUCCAACUUUUAGGAUUUUGAGGAGGGUAAUUAAUAUUCCUGUAGGGAUUAGAGGUUACCUACCAUGCAGUAUUUUUUUUUCUCAUUUUAUGUUAUUUUUAUGCAUCUGAACUUCACUCAUGUACAGAAUAUAAGCAGCAGUUUCUGUUACUGUUAGCAUCUGAGACUUUCACAUUCAUUCUUUUCCUUUUAUAAUUCGAUAAUGAUACAUACUAUACUCUUUGUUCUGAAAUUUCUUCUGUACAUGCUAAUUGCUCUUGAAUUAGUAUAAUACAUGCAUGGACUUUGAAAUCUAGAGUUGUUUGUUUCAUUUUCUGUUUGUUUGAUGCUGCCCAAGCUAGUUCGAAGAUAUCGUAUCCGCGAGUUACAGGCUAUUGAACUUCAUCGGUUCGUGAUCUUUUCUUUCUGUUACUUCAUUGGCGACUAUGUAAAUCUGUCGCACUUCAUUUUUGUUUUUUUUAUAGACCUUCUCAGACUAGGAAAUUUUCUCGAGUUUAUGCCGACCUAAACAAUCAUCUGACGUAUGAAAUAACCGGAAAAUUGAAUUUGCUUUUGACUCUAACUGCUUGUUCUGCCGCGCUCUUCUGUAGGUUGUAGAUCUUGUAAGGAGAGCCGUCCCGCUCGCGCUCGCACCGGAGGACGACCCGAGGAGGGAAGAGCUGAAGCAGCUUCAGCAGAAGAAGGAAGAGAUCGACGGGCUCGCGCACAAGCAGGUCCGCCGGAUCCUCUGGUCGGGGCUAGGGUUCUUCGUCGCGCAAAUCGGCGUGUUCUUCCGGCUUACGUUCUGGGAGUUCUCGUGGGACGUAAUGGAGCCGAUAGCGUUCUUCGCCACCACCAGCGGCCUCCUCGUCGGCUACAGUUAUUUCCUGAUAACAUCGAGGGACCCGACUUAUCAGGACUUCAUGGAACGGCUCUUCUGCUCGCGGCAGAAAAAGCUUUACCAGAAGCAGAAUUUCGACGUGGAGAGGUACAUCGAGCUGCAGAAGCACUGCAGAGGUCCCUGGGAUAAGAUGGUUGCCGAGAACGAUACUAAUAAUUUUCAGAAUAUUUCGCUAUUUAAGUGACAAAUUUUUUUUUUUCUCUCAAAAUUUUUUCUGACUACUACCCAGGUAUUUUAUCUGCUUCUGGGUGUAUGCUUAACUAAUACGAAAAAGGAUUGAAGAAGCUUGUAUUUAUGUUUCUGGGCUUUUAGUAAAAGCACUUUUGUUCAAGAUCUCUUGUAUCACUUGUCUCCUGCCAAAUAAAGUUUGGGGGAGCCAGUGUAACUUUUUCCUUUUUCUUUUUUUUCUUUUGUUUUGGUGUAAUCUAUAAGAAACUAGUUGCCUUAUAAAGAAAGAAUGAUGGUUAUGGAGAGUUGAAGUUUUGAUCCUUUUUUUUUUAAUUUUUUUCAAGCUUUUAACAGUGCAUCAAUUUUGGUGAGAAAAUCAUUCAUGAUAACAUUUGAAUAGAUGAAUUGUUAUGUGCAGGUUAUUAGGGGAGUUCAAUGGAAUCCAUCCAACCUAAAAGUUUUUAAGUAUAAUAGAUUUGGCCCCAUUAACAUAUAUCGGAACUAUGAAUUAUAGUAAAUCGACUAUACGAUCUUUCAAAAUUUUAAUUAUAUUAUCUAAUAUUUUAAUUUAUUUGAUUUGACUCGAUCAAUGGCACUUUAACUUCAAAGUUUGAGUUAAUUAUUUACUUUAACGAAUUUAUAAUUGUGAGAAUUAUAUGAAGUAUAUUAACUAAAUCUGUAAAUAUAAAUGACGCAUUUAAAUUUUAAAGUGACCGACUCAAAUUAAAUAAAUAAAAAAACUAUGUAGAAAAAUUAAAAUUUUGGAAGGUCAAUCUAAAAUAGUUGAUAAUUCAUGUCAGUUUUGCACAUUUAUCUAUUAAUUUUUUAUUUUUCAUAUAAACUAUUGGAUGUCAGAUUGUUAAUAUAUGAACUCCUUAAUAAUCUCUCUCUCUCUCUCUCACUUGUAAUCCAAUAACCUCCUUGAACUCUUAUGUUAUACUCUAAUCUAAGUAUUGUAUCAAAUCGCUUUCGACUCUUCCUAAAUCGAUGACGAUUAUUUCGAAUGACGACAACUACUUUGAUGUUACUUUCGAAAUCACAAGAUAGUGGAACUUAACUGAAAAAAGAAUAAAAGUAGCAGCAAAAUGUAAAGGAUAAUAAUCCAAUUUCAACAACCAAAGACUUCGGAUCAAAGUAAAGCAACGGAAUGCAGGGAAUUACGCUGGAAACUGGGAGGGAUGGAUCUUCAACAAGAUGAGGUUUUGCUGUGUGGAAGCAACAGGUCUGAUCAUAACAUUGAGGAAGAAGAUAAGUAUCAGAUCACUUUUACACCCAUUUUCUUUUCCUUUCGCUUUAUCUUUCUAUUCUUUUUUUGUUUCUUUGACUCUCUACGGUAAAACUAACGAAUAAAUGGCCAAAAGCAGCAGAUUGCAUGCCCUUCUUCGGCUGCAAAGAAUAAUCUGGAUCUUUCUUUUUGUUAGAGCCUGCCAUGAUCAGCCUACUGCUUUGGAAUCGAUUCGAGUAUGUCACUCAUUGCUUGAUUAAAAAACAAAAAGUGGAAAAGAAAGGAAAAGAAAAGGAAAUGGUCGUGUUGCUUUAAACCGAUACUGCGUCACACGUAGAUAGUUGAAGCCAAAAGAGGAAAAGAGAGCGUGUAUGCGACUGCUGCUUCAAAUUGUAAUUUAGACCCUCUUGUUGAUGGAGUUCGAGGCACGAUCGAUCGACAUGGAGCGUGAAAUCUAAAAAUUAACAAUCAGCACCAUACAAGAUGUGGGUGGGGCUUGUUUUGCUUGGUGUCAUUUGUAUUUAGUUGGAUAAUAUAAUUCACUUGCAAAAUAAUUUAAUUUAGCCCGCAAACAGGACUUCAGAGAAGACCAAAAUAUGAAGCAUCAUACUAGAAAAAAAAAAAAUGAUCAUAUACCUCAUCUCAAAUAGAACAGGCUUUUUGGGUAAAUUAAAGAGAUGUAUUUAACAAAAAAAUUAAUGUAUCCAAACAAGACCGAAGAGAUUUGAGUGCUAAUUACAGUAUAAGUGACAGCAAUUCUUGAUUAGUAGGAGGUGAAUGAAAUGUAUGUGUCUGGCACAACACUCAAAAGGCCUGGUCCACUAGAAAUUUCUAGUGGAGGGGCUGCAAAAAUAAGUUCUAUUUUAAAACUUCUACUUGGCCGACAGGGCUAGGUCGAGAAACUAUUGGUGAGGUUUUUUAUGAAAAAAAUGUUAGUGCUUUCUCGAGCAGUUGUACUCAAAAUUGGAACUCAGAAUCCACCGAAUCAGAAAACAGUUCUAGAAGCAUAUGACUAUACUGAUGCAUCGUAACACGAAAGAACACAUUUUAACUAAACGAAAGAUAGCUGAAUUACUCGUGAAAAUUGAAACAUCAAACUUGCGAAGUUUGAAGCGAAGGGAGAGAUGAUGCACAAGCAAUGUGACUUUCCUACCGACAAUGACAUGUUACACCAAACAAUCAAGAAAAUUCAUAAUGAGAUGACUCCAUUUCAUGUGCGAGCGCUCAAAUAAAACAAAGAAUUGCCAAUAAUAGAUCCAAAAAAAAUUAACCCUUCUUGUGGAAGAAAAUUGACCAACAAGGGCGUAAAAAUUGCACGGAUGAAAAAAAGAAAAGAACAAAUCAAUCUACAUCCUAUCCAAUUAGAAGUGCCAAGUGGAGACUCUUCCAUAUCAAAAAGAACGAAUAAUGCAAUCAACUAAUACCUAAACUUACCUGUAAGAGCCCACCGGGUACAAAUCUCGCGACCAAAGUGAUGAAGGGUAAUUUCCAUAUCCAAGAUAUUCUGCAUUUUCGCCUUUUCCAUCCCAUCACAAAAUAACCAUUUAUUGCUUCAGGAUCGCACCAUCCUUGGUAUCUGCAUCACUGUUGUGCUUCAAACCAAUAUAUAGAUUUUUCACUAAACUUCAUAGAUUGAAUCGACUAUCGUUCUUUCUGUUCCCUUUCUCCAAUUUUGUAAUGUCAUAUGCCCUAACUCGCAAAUAGCUGCAGCUAAGGGUUCACAUUGCAACCGCUCAUGAACUGCUCCUCCCGGGUAAGAUAUUUCUUCCAAUACUUCUUGUAUUUCGGUAUACCAAGUUCGAGCCAAGGCUUCAUGUUGCCGUUAUAAUGAAGAGCAGCAGCAUUCUUUAGUGCGCCGUGAGUAACUCCGUAGUUGUGACCGAGACCUGACUGAACUAAGCUAUUUUGUAGAGGAUAAAUUAGAUCUUGAAAUGCAAGAAAGGUUGUGGGAAGUGUAGCAGCUCUCCACGAUGCUUCGCUACCAUUGUGAAACUGUCAAGAGAAAAGCAUGUAGAACGUUAGUAAGUAAAGCAACAGACAGAUAGCUCUAUACUGAUCAUUGAUUUUCCACUAAUUAAUAAAAAUUCUUAUGAGUUAAUUACUGAUUCAGUCCUCGAAACUCAGCACUGAUUUCAAUUAUAUCCUCCGAGUAUCAAUUCUGUAAUUAAGUUGAGAUAGUUGACCCUGCUAUUGAACUGUAAAGAUUAGCUUGGUGUGGCAUCUUUACUAACGGAAUGGUUUGAUUGUUACACUAAACAAAAUUCAGGGACUAAAUUUCAAAAUCAAAACUCCCAAGGACUUUAUUGAGAUUGAAAUUAAAUUGAAAGAACUAAAGUUGCGGUAACUCGUAUCUAUUCUAUCGAACUCAAUGGGCAAACAGCAAGAUCAAAACGAUAAAAAAUUCACCUCUGAAACAGUGGUGAAAAUCCAACAAUUAGUCGAUAUAUUGUACCAUUUGAAACAUCUUAUUAUCUUAAAAUCAAUAAUUCUACAAAACACAAGCCUACAUACUAUCAAUGAAUAGUGCUACUAACCUUCCGGUGGAGCCCAUGGUAAACUUCAGUAACCUUGCGGUCCCUCCACUUCUCCAAAUCAACAACAUUCAAUCCAGACAUCCAGGCACAAGAAUUAGCAUCAUGUUUUAAUCCACCCAAGUAAGCUCCGAGUUGGCGUAAUCUGACUCGACAAUAUUGAACUGCACCAAUCACUUUUCCUUGCAAAUCAAGGUUCCACAAGAAUGACAAGUCUUUCUUGACCAACACAUCAUCAUCCAAAACAACCACUUUAUUCAGAUUCGAGAAUAUGUCAGCCAGAAGAAAGUGUGAGUGACCAAAAACCGAGAUGUAUUCAGUUCUCAUCAGCAUAGGCGAUUGGCGAGCAGUAUUACGAAUUGAAACACGAAAUUCCUCAGAUGGAGAUAGUUGUUGGAUGCCUAGAUUGUUCAAAUGUUCAGUUUUUAGAUCGUCAAAAUUAAGAACAUGAACCGUAGCUUCUUUGUAACGGUUUCUCACAAACCAAUGCUUGCAUGCAUAAAAAUUCUGCCUAUCGGUGACCAAAUGGAAGAUAAGAUUUUCAGAUUCCUGAAAUACUACAAAAGAAUGUGGUAAGUGACAGAAAGGAGAUGUACAGUGCUUCACUCUAGAUAAAUAUACGAGAGUCCCAUACCUCAGAAUUCAUCACAGUGGAAUUAAUAGUGACAGAAGCUGCAAGCACGUUAAGAGAAAAGAUAACAUAGUGGUGGAAGUUGGGGUUUUCAAGCUUGUCAGCAUCUGGCAGCUCCAUAUCCACAGAUGAAGACUUGAAAUAUUCUACAGUCAGUCUCAUUGACAAGCAGUGCAGACUUUUGUGCAUGGUUUGAACACCGAGGUGAUAGAGAAAUGCACUCUGCUUCAUAUGGAAAUGUGCUUCAUCUUCUGUGAGAUCAACUAACUGUCUGAGUUUCUUGUCAAUAUUAUGGCAGUCUACAGCGCAUGAUUUGGCUUUUGCAAUAAUCUCAUCCAUUCUCUGUAUCUUUUUGUCGACACUGAAAAGGAUUACCACUCUCUUCAGAACCAUAUUUCUAAACACAUCAAGUUAAAGUAAUGGUUUUGAAAGUCAAAUCAAAUUAAACGAACAAGUAAUGUUCAUUAUAAUAUGCAACCGCGGAAGGCUAAAAGCUCCAACAUUCAUUUGGAAAAUACUAUCUAACUGAGCAUCAUUUUUUUCUAACUUAAACAACCAAUAGUAACUGGGAGCCAAUGGAAAUUGCGAGCAAAUAGCGAUUUUUACAUCACUAUUGGCUUGCAAUUACAACUUUGCCAACCAGUAAUAAAGUCAGAAAGAAAGCUGAAGAGUUGGAAGAUAGCCGAUAUUUCUUACACUGGCAGAAGAUCAGCAUCUGAAAUGGCUUCACUAAGCAUCCGCUCAUGUUCUUGAAUGUGCUGCUUCAGCUCAUAUGUUAGUUUCUCCUGCCCCUGAAGUUUUGCAAUGCUCGGAUAAUAAGCUCUGGCGACAAACAGUUGAUCUUUAAGUCUCUUCACUGUGGAAUCUUUCAUUACUUCCUUGUGUUCUAGGGACCAAAGGCAGUAGCUUCCAAAUAAAAGCUGACAAGAUUUUCCACUCUCGUCACCAGCUGAACCUUCUGUAACAUUCUCCUUCCAAUCAAUGCCAUCACUCUGUGGUAAUCAAAAUAAAUAAAUAAAUAAAUGUUUUUAAAAAAGAAGUUGAAAAUUUGUAAAUCAACAAGAUUUGACUAAUUAAUCGGCCAAAGUAAGGUAAUUUGUUCAAAAGAGUUGCAGUGUUAAAGUUGAUCUCAAGGAUGGAAAGCAUUUGCAAGCUGAUAAAAUAGUCAUACUUUUGUAUUCAGAGACGAUGCUUCUCUCGACACAACUUGCUGUGUGUCCCUAUCUGCAUAGUGUAAACAAAAGGCAAGAAAACUUAUCUCAAAGAACAAGAAAAUAAAGACUAGUAAAAUUUCCUAUUUCUUCGUAAUAUAUAGUGAACUCCGAACAUUUAAAUUUUGAAUCCAUACUUUUAUAAUGUGCGGUAUUAUUCUUAUAGACAGCACCCUUUGGAGGUACACUAGCUUGGACAUUGUCACUAGUGAAUCUACCAUUCUUCUCAUAUUCAUUGCCAUCAGACUGACUUGCUAUGUUGGUGGUCAGAUCCUGCAACACAGGCACAUAAAGAUAUUUCAAACAACUGGAUAAGCCAAGUCAACAAAGAUAUUAUGAUUCACACCAAUUUGAUCUGCUUCACCCCUAAGUUGGAAUCUAAAUUAUUGGAUACUGAUUAAAAUGAAGCAGUAAAAAUAAAUGAUCCGAAAUGAGGGCAUUUGAGACAAUAUAGAGUAUAUAUUUUUUUACCAGAAUCAGAUGACAAAGAUACUGUAGUGCAGGCAGCCAAUAUUCAUUUAUGCAAGCCAUAGACUAAAACUUCUAUGCUCCUCAAUCCCGAAUAGAAGACAGUGGCAGUGCACAUAUUGUGCAAGAGAGCAAUAUAUAUCUAUUAAACAUAUUCAAGUUACAAAAGCUUGACUUGUUAGGAACUUGGUUGAGCACCUUGAGGAUUCCACUAGAAAUUGCUCACUACUCACCAGUCACUGAAUCUUGAGAUUGGGUCUACGACAGUUAUAAAAGAGAAGAUGAAGGGAGAAACUUGCCCAGAUGAAAAGAUUUUCCCCUUUGUCCCAUGUGUUACCCCUCUCUAAGAAUCUGCAGAACUGCAAGACCGCUUUCUUAAAGGUAUUGAACGUAUGUUUCUUUUGAGCCUCCGAACACAGAUGGAGUAGCCAUUCAAGAUAUGAGAUAACUUGAUAAAAGUUUAUAGGAUAAACAAACGUCGUAGACCCAUAAUUUGAUUAUAGCUUUGGUCUUUUCGGAACUGAAAAGAAUAUUCUAGGUUAUUCAUGUUUUGGAGGUCCUUAGGAUGGAUUCAAUUACCAAGUGAUUAAACCAUUGAACUUACAAAACCAAAGACUCAAUGAAGUAAUUUCUCGCUCUUUCGACAAAAAUUCUAUAUUCAAGCAAGUGGAGAGCGGACCUUCGCAAAAGUUGGUGCCAGUUUCUUCACGAGAUCAUCAAUUCUCGACCCAUCACCCUGCAAAGCACAAAAGAUCACUAACAAAUAUAAAACAAAAAUCUCAACAUCUCAACCAACUCAAUUUCCAAUCAACCAGGAAAGUGAUAAGCCAACCCCACUGUCUGGUCCAGUAAAUCAUAAAAAAUUGAAAGAUACAACAACAGUGAAAUGAUAACGACCUGUGAAGAACUAUGCUUUCUACCACCAUCAAGAUGCUCGUAAACCCCAAAGCUAAAUUCCUACACAACCAUCAAAACCAAGUGAUAAGAAAACAAUACCAGUAAACCUAUUCCUACGACAUUAUAGUAGCACGAUUUGAUAAUUCUCACCGAUGCAGAGUGAUCAUCAGUUAAGUACCCUGCACACCAAAAACACACAGGAAUCAGCGAUUUCUCCAUCAAAGACACCACGAACCCGUCUUUUUCGAUUAAAAAAACAUAGGAAUAGCACGGAUCUCGCAUCCGAGGGAGAGAUCCGGAGCCGGAUCUCGCCGGAACCCUAGUUCCGGAGCAAAAUACCAUCCACAGCCGAGAUCGCGGCCGCGGAAGCGCGAUCAGGAAGCGAGAUCGGGGGCAAGCGCUAGGGUUUUCGGGCGGGGGAGCACGCACCGGAGGGGAAGCGGUUGUGGUGGAGGCCGAGGAGAACGGCGAGGGGGACGAGGAGGGAGCAGAAGACGAGGGCGAGCACCGCCACCGCGAGGCACCUCCACCUCCGCUUCCCCGGCGGCGCCGCCGCCGCGGCCGCGUAGCCCUUCAUCGCCCCCUCUUCCUCCUCUCCGUCUUCUUCCUCCGAUCUGCCACCGUAGCCUCCUCCUCCUCCUCCUCCUCCUCUACGUAGACGCCCCAAAACCCUAAUUAGAUGUGUUGAUCGGAGGAGAUCGCGUCGCCUCUCUCCACCAUUGAUGCUCUCUCUCUCUUACUCACUCUCACUCUCACUAUCACUCUCAAAUGUGAUCUCUCUCUCUCUCUCUCUCUCUCGCGUUUUCUUUUUAUUUUGAUUGAGAAAUAAAAUAGAAGCGUCAGAGACAAUGGUUAUCGAUUCUUUCUUUUAUUUUAUUUUUUAUUUUUUAUUUGUAAUUUUUGUUUUUAUUUUGUUUUUUUCGUACUUAGUGCUACAAAUGUGUGAAAUUGCAUCACCAAUAGCGUUACUUUCACUGUCGCAUUUUUGCACGUGUACCCCUCAAACUUUUGUAAUUUACAUCUGUGAUUCUUCUUACUCUUCUUCGGGAUAUUAUUUAUGCCGCAAGUGUCAUACAGAAAGGACAGAUAUUAAUAAAUGAUAAUGGGUGGAGUAUUGGUCUACGGUAAAUACGCAUUUAAGAUACACCUAAUCUCAGCUUAAAAUUCACUUUAUUCAAAUUAGUAUAUCAAUAUAUUUGAACUAUUUUGAUAAUUUUAACUGAUUAAUAUAUACUGUAAAAGAAUAUAAGAAAAAAAUUUGAUCCAACAAGAAACGAGAUUGGUAAAAAAAACCCCGUUGAUUUCAUGCAUCAAGCGUGAGAAUCAAUCGCCUCCAUUUCAAUCAUGCUCCACUGCUCUUCUAUUAGUAUACAUACUCCGGAUAUCUCAUUUAUUCCCUUUUUUUUCUUUUCAAUCAUGUAAUUCUAAAAUAUCUCUACAGCUAAACAUGAGUUAAAUAUCUAUCAAAGUUAAAAAAAAUCAAAAUACUUUGUUUAUCAUUAACUUUAAAAAAAAUAAAAAAUAUUCGUGAUGGUAGAAAGGGAUAUAUUUGAAAAGAUAACAAUCAAGAUACUUUUUGUGUUUCUAACUUAAACUUCGUUUUGGGAUUGCGUGGAGAUUGCGUUACUUGCAGUGAGAAAGUACGUUGAAAAAAUACCUAUAUGUAAUAUUGCGUUCCGCAUAUCACGAUGAGUCGAUUAUGAUAUAUUUUCUACGGUCCCACCGAAGAGCGCAGAAGUAUAUCCCUAUAUACUUUUUCCUCAACUUCAUUCUAUCUAAUAGCGUUAGAUAAGCCUCAAUACCAAACUAAGGCUUCGUUUGGGAUUGUGGGAGAAUUGCGUUACGUGCGGUGAGAAAGUACGUUGGAAAAAUACCUUAUUUGUUUUCGUACGUAAUAUUGCUUUCCGCAUUAGUCGGUUACGAUAUAUUUUCUGCACUCCCACCGGAAAACGCAGAAACAUAUCGUUAUAUGCUUUUUUCCUCAACUCUAUUUUAUCUAAUAGCGUUAGAUAGCUCUCAAUACCAAACUAAGCCUAAAGCCUUAAAGGGUAAAUAAGAAAAGUCGGUAACAAUAGAAGGGAAUAUUUGAAAGGGCAAAAUAAUAAUUUUAUAAAGAUAACUGCUAUUGCUAAUAAUUCAUUACCAGAAUUAAACUCUAGAAAUAUAUUUGAAAUAUGUUGGAAUGUAAAAAAAAAAUAUUUUUAAUAUUAAUCUUCUAAUAGAGGUAAAUUUAAAAAUCAAAAAUAUUUUAGAAAUAUAUAAAUAAUUGCCCCUAAAUUAAUUUAUAACUAAAUAAAACUAGACUAAUUAUUAAUUAAUAAUAAUUAAUUGCCAAUAUAACUGGUAAAAACAUAAUAAAAAUAUUUUACCGAAAAAAUAAAAAGUUGAAUUUGAGGGGGGCCCUUUUCAGAAGCGUCUACAGCCGAGGGGGUCUCCACGCAAUUCGGAAUCGUCGGCGANGGGGGGGGGCCGAGGGAUCCAGAGCCAAACCCAUUUUACGAGGGCGGUGGCACUGACACUGACGCGCGGGGCCCACACCUGACGUGGGUCCACGUGUCACACGCUCGACCGCGGAAUGUACGAGCGCAACGUUACAACCCCCACCGCGCGAAUAAUUUCCCAUUGCAGCAGGUCAUGGGGCCCCACACCCAGUCGGUGAGCGCGACUGGUGCUGUACUUCCCUCGUGCGUCGUGUAUUCUGUGUGUAUGCUUGGCAACGCUUCGGCCCAAUUUUUCUCAGCUCUGGUUGGUGGUUUCACCAUUCUGAGCUCGGCACCGGAAAGGUGCGUUACACCACCACCAAAAAAAAAAUAAAAAAAAAUACUGUUGAUAGUAUCAAGGCCAAUUUGUAUAAAAAAUUUAUUUAUUUUGAACUUUUGUAAAAUCGGGUCAUCUUUUUUAUUUUUGCAGAUUCGGGCCGCCGGAAAAAAAAAAAGGUGCUCCAGCAGGAGGAAAAAGAAGAAGAAAAAGAAAAAGAGAAGAAAAAAUUGCUCCGCCUGGCAUCGCUUUUUUUUUCCGGCGGAAAAAAAAAAAGAACGAGAGAACGAAGAGGAGAGAGAAAGAGGAAAGAGAAAAAGUAAUAAGGAUAUUUUGGUUUUGCUGAAAAAGCGGACCAAAUCUGCAAAAACGAAAAAGGUGGCCCGAUUUUGCAAAAGCCUAAAAUAAGCUGAUUUUUUAUGCAAAUUAAAUUUUUGAAAAAAAAUUCAAAAAUCCCUGGUGUGGUUUUAUUUUUUCUUACUUGUAUCCUGUGAUUUAAAAUAUAUCAAGUUAGUCUAUGUGAUUUUUCACUUUUUCACUUUAGUACCCUGUGGUUUCGCACUUUAUCACUUUAAUACCAUGUGGUUUAAAAACCGCAGGGUACUAAUUUGAUACAAAAAAUAAAACCACAUGAUACUAACUUGAUACAAAAAUAAAACCACAGAGUACUAACUUGAUACACUUUAAACCACAGGGUACUAAAGUGAUAAGUGCGAAACCACAAAGGGGGUAUUUGAAGUUUUUUCUAAAAUUUAUGUGAAAAGUGUCAAGUCAUAAUAUUGAAAUGGGAAAACUUCAAAAACCCCACAUGUGGUUUCGUAGUUUCUCAGUUUGCCCCCCUUGGUUUAAAACGUAUCAAAUUGCCCCCAUGUGGUUCGUUUUUAUCUUUUCGGUAGCUUUUUCGUUAAUAUUUUAUUAAAUUAUAUACAAAAAACUUCAGAUACCUAUCUAAAUUUAUCAAAUAUUUACUUUAGUACCCUUUAAUUUUAACUUUAUCACUGAUUUAAGAAAAAAUAAUAAUAAAAUUGAUAAGAAAAAGAGAAAAAAGAAACCACAUAGGUGUAAAUUGAUACAUUUUAAAGCACAGGGAGACCAAGUGAGAAACUACGAGACCAUAAGGGGAGUUUUUGAAGUUUUCCCUAUUGAAAUUUUAGAAACUAUUAUAUAAAACAUCUCUAUACUUUUUU